UGUGUUUGAGCUUGUUUGGUCAACUAGCUAUCUGCAGUCUCUUGAUAAAUAAAUAUAUGGUGCGAACCACUGAUUCCAGUCAUGUUCAGAUUUAUGUUUCCUUGGUGUCUUGCUUAUGUCAUUGUUACUUGUUAGGACAAUAAUAUUCAUCCAUAUUACUGCAUGUUCCCUUGUCAUUGGUAUCUAAAUGUUGUUUAAUAGCUGAAUUUAUCAUAACUAAUCAGGGAUUGAAGACCUGGUUCAUACUGUUCCAUACCAAGCACACCAUAUUAGACUGGCAGCAGACUGGUUCACUGUACAGUGUUGGUAUCUGAUUGCUUGCAGAACUGGUCUGUCUCAGUCUGAAAUGCUUAGAACCAACUGGUACAGACCAGCAGCUACCACUUUUGCUUGAUACUGGUCAGUAACAAGUCAAAAGUAGCCCACCUUCUUUUUUCCCUGUUUUGCAUCUGAAUAGGGAGAAGCGAGUGAUGGGAGGAGAAAGAGAGAUAAGGAAGCUUGUGAGAGCUCAGGUCCUGCUGAUGCAACCCAUCUCCUCCCUUUUUGCUUUGCAUAUCACCUAUUAUGUAUAACUCCUCUUCUGCAGACUAGCAGUCCAAUGUUUAGAUAUUGUAAUGAUUAAGAACCUCACUAGUAGGUGCUUUUUUUGAUGUCAAAUGAAUAUGUACACUGUUGUUCAUAUCUUUCAGCUUUUCUGACAAGUUCUACCAUCAAAAUAUAUAUUUCUUUCCCUCUUAUGGAUCUACAAGUUAUGAUACCAUAAUUCUAAGUAUUUUACGUUAAUUCUUUUUGUUGUUUAAUAUUUUCUAAAUCACUGAAACAGAUACCUCCGAGCCGAACUACAUACAAUAAUUUAAUCAGUGCUUGUGGAUCUGGUGGUAACUGGAAAGAGGCUCUUGACAUUUGCAAGACAAUGACAGAAAAUGGUGUUGGACCUGAUUUGGUGACUCACAACAUUGUUUUAUCGGCUUUCAAGAAUGGGGCUCAAUAUUCCAAAGCUCUGGCUUAUUUUGAACUUAUGAAAAAUACAAAUAUAUGCCCCGACACUAUUACUCUUAAUAUUGUUAUACAUUGCCUUGUCAAACUUGGACAAUUUGGAAAAGCUGUGGAUAUGUUCAACACAAUGAGGGGAAAAAGAGCAGAAUGUCCCCCAGAUAUCAUAACAUUUACCAGUGUUAUUCAUGCAUAUUCUGUUUGUGGACAGAUUGAAAAUUGCAAGGCAGUAUUUGACAUGAUGCUUGCUGAAGGACUGAAACCUAAUAUUAUUUCUUAUAAUGCACUUCUUGGUGCUUAUGCUUCACAUGGAAUGCAUGUGGAGGCAUUAACUAUUUUUAAGUUAAUCAAGCGGAACGGACUCCGACCAGAUAUUGUAUCGUAUACCUCUUUACUCAACGCCUAUGGCAGAUCUGGACAGCCUGAGAAGGCCAGAGAGGUCUUUGACAUGAUGAAACGAAACUCAUGCAAGCCAAAUAGAGUGAGUUAUAAUGCAUUAAUUGAUGCUUAUGGAUCUGCGGGAAUGUUGGAGGAAGCUGUAGAAGUGCUGCGCGAGAUGGAAAGGAAUAGUAUUCAACCAGAUAAUGUCUCAAUAAGCACGCUCUUGGCAGCCUGUGGCCGAUGUGGUCAAAUUGUUAAGAUUGACUCUGUACUUUUUGCAGCGAAAUCCCGUGGCAUUAAAUUAAAUAUAGUUGCAUACAACUCGGCCAUUGGAAGCUAUAUGAGUGUUGGGGAAUAUGAUAAAGCUUUAACAUUAUACAAGUUGGUGAGAGAAAAUAAAAUAAAACCUGAUGCUGUUACCUUUAAUAUAUUAAUUAGUGGUUUAUGUAAGGUAGGAAGACACGCAGAAUCUCAGAAAUUUGUCGAUGAGAUGAUGGACAUGCAGAUUCCUAUAUCCAAGGAGGUAUACUCAUCUUUGAUCUGCAUGUACAGCAAACAGGCAAGUGCUAGUGACUUGCAUGAUAUAUCUACUUAAAUACAAAUUAUGAUGUCUUAUAAGGCUUUUCCUUUCAGGGUCAACUAACAAAAGCAGAAUCUACUUUCAAUAUGAUGAAGGAGACAGGCUGCUUCCCUGAUGUUAUAACGUACACUUCCAUGAUACAUGCCUACAGUAUAGCAGGUAAUAUAUUUCCUUUAUCUGUAGCAAGGAUAAAAAAGUUGGUAAAAGAAUUUUGCUCACAGGAUAUUAAUUGUGGACUGCUUUAGAGAACUGGAAGAAAGCAUUGGAGAUUUUUGAGGACAUGGAAAAAAAUGAUAUCCGGCCAGAUCCUAUUGCAUGUUCGGCCCUUAUGGAAGUUCUAAAUAGAGGAUGCCAACAUACCAAGGUUCUUCAGAUGGCAGAGUUGAUGAGACUGAAGCAUAUUCCUCUAAACUCAAGUGCCUCUUUUGAGAUUAUUUCUGCUUGCAGCAUGUAAGUUACCUGUUUCUUACUAAAUGUAAUGCUUUAAUUUAGAAUUGGUGCUUCUAGAUGGUAAUUAUUGCCGCUCCUUGUCUUUGUUGUCAUUUAUAUCCUUUUUCAGAUGAUGCUGAUUGUGGUUGAGCUUAUUAAUCUAAGACCAAUAGCAUUAUGUUAACAAUGACAUUGUUAUAUAUGAUUAGAAACUGAUUAAUGUGGAAAUUAUUAAUGACUGUUUGAUGUUUAGAAGACUAUAGUUUCCAUUUUCUUGAUAUUAGCUUAUACUCUGUGGACCCUUAUACUGGCUCCUGGAAUUGAAAAAAAAUCUUAAACUUCUUCCAGUUUAUCUGCUGAGUUGAGUAUUGAACUAGUACUUAUUUAUUUUUUAAAAUAAACUAGUACUUUUUUUAAAAAAAUGAAAUGUUCAAUGCUUCCAUUUUUCACUUUUCCUUUGUUUGUUCUUUAUCAUUCAUGGUGUUUGUGACUGCAGUUGAUGGCUGUUAUUUAAUAUGUGGUCACUUUUUGCACUUUCUUUUUUUUAGUUAGCCUCUUGGAAAGUAAAUUGACUUCCACCUUAGUUAUUACUUCAGAAGGCCAUCAUAUGUUGCCCCAUCAGGUGACACAAGAAUAGUUUUCAGCAUUUUUUUUGAUACAGUAUGCCUAACCUUCUGUCUGGUUUUUCUUUUUUCAAAUUUUUAUUAAAUGAGUUUCUUUGCCUGUGAUAUUGGCAAUUCAAUACAUUCGACAAUGACAAUGAUUUCUAACAAGUGUACGUACAUUAAUUAGUUUACGACCAUAUAUGGUUGAUUUCUGGCCUUGAAAGAUGUAUAUUAUCCAGGGAAUCUGUUAAAACUUCUAAUUUGGUUGCUGGCACUUGCUUCUUAUGGCAUACAGUAAGCAUACUUGAUAAUCUAGGAGCAUUAUGUAACUUUUACCCUUAAACUUUCUCUCAUCUUUGAUAUGCAGUUUACAAUUCACAUUUAGUUACAAAUCCAUUUUAUAAACUGAGUUGCUUCUCACAAUUGGCCAUCGACCCAUUGUCGACCCUCGACCUUCUUCAUCUGGGUUUCGCAACAGAAUCAAAGGUGUUAUUCCACCUAAUGCUAACCAUGUGGAGCUUGUUUCGACCUUUUGAAACCUUUUCCUAAUGCCUUCUAAACCCCUCGAGGCAACUGAUUUCUUUUUAUUCAUAGAUAUGGUAUUGCAUGGGUGGGCAUUUCUUUUCCUCAAAGGAAACAAGUGAACAGUCAUCCCAUGUGUAGUUCACACUCCUCAGGAGAUUUUGUGCAAGUAGUUGACCUCCUCAAAGUCUCUCUAUACACAGGGGUAAGGCUGUAUACGUUUGACCCUCCCCAGGCUUUGCAGCUUUGUGCAAUGGGAUACCCUUUAGUAGACCUCCUCAAACCUCUAAAAAGGGGAUGGCCAUCACUUGUAGGCCCGCACAUGCUAUGAAAGCGUGAAGCUUCAAUCCUAGAUGUGACAUCUAGAUCCUUGGUUGUGUGCUGCUGCUAGAUAUCUUUCAUGUUGCUCUUCUUAUUCAUUUAUUAUUUUCUCUAUUCUACUCUCUAAUGUCUGUUUAACAGAUUGGAGCCUUUCAAUCUGCGAUAGUUUCAUUAAAAAUUACUCCUGUUUUCGAACCUCUUAGAUUGUCAUCCCUGCUUAACCUCAUAUUAUACAUGCUAAUCCUUCCUGGAAUUCUCUUAAGUGUAUACCAAAAUACUUGACUGCUGUAAAUAAUUCCAUCAAGGUUGUAGUUUAAACUUCCUUCACUAUAUCAUUAUUUAUUUCUCAUGAAUUUGAUAAUUCUUCUUUCUUAUCCAGAAAUUUAACUACUGUUUUUUCCUGUUCAAGGCUAAGAGACUGGAAAAAAGCAAGCGAAAUAGUUGAAAAUAUGGAGCCCUCCUCAUUCUCAUCACUUUCACUUGGGAUUUUAAAUCAGCUUCUUUGUUUUCUUGGAAGGAGUGGGAAGAUUGAGACCAUGAUGAAGGUAAUUAUUGCAUAUUAGUUGGAUCAUUUGUUAAAAACUUUCAAAUAGCUGUUAGUUUUCUUCAGAAACCAAAUAAUUAUGCAUAUGAUAUUCUUUCUGAGCACUUGGAUAUAUCAUCAAACUAUCAAAUGAACAGAGUUAAGAUAUAUCUAUGGGUAAUAUAAGUGAUACUGACAUAUUUUUGACUAAAUAUUUUUGUGCAUUCAUGGAUGUUAGUCAUAAAUUACUAACUGUUACUUACAAGCUUUGCCCCAUGUAGUUGGGUUGGCUAUAUUAUUCAUAAUGGUUCUAUUUAGAGUCUUUUAUCUGAUGGAUUGGUCAAAUUUUUUAUACUUAACCAUCACACUGGUGAUGUGCCUCUCUUUAUUCCCGCCAUUACUCAUUUUUUGUUAUCAAUGGAUGAUGUAUCUGGUGACAUGUCUGAUUAUUAUUAUUAUACCAAGGAUUGAUGAAUUUUGUGUGGAUAGCAUGGCACAUAUCAUGCUAUGCUGUGGGGGUUAUUCCAUGCCAGUUCUCGGCAUGCACUGUCACAGCUGCAAGCCAGGUACCGUCAUGCAGCCUAUAUCAUGCCAGUGCCAUGCUAAUGAGGCACUGGCACCAUACAUAUCCCUGCUGACAGUACUUUGAUCCAUGUUUAUACAAGAGACAUUACAUUGUGCACUAAGGUAUGUGACUAUGUGCUGUAUUUUUUUUUAUUCUUUCUACCUGAGAUGCUUCUCCUUGAAUAAGUUUAUUAAAAGCAAUCCAUUCAUUCUCAUCACAUUAAUGAUUGGUUUACAAAAUGCACACAUCAUAUCAGGAUAUUGUUUUCUUAUAAUUUGCAAAAUGGCAUUGUCACAGAUAUUCCAAUAUCGCUUUCUUAUAACUUGUGAAGUUUAUGGUAAUGAUGGUACUAUUAUAUGAUACCUGAGCACAAUCUGUAUAAGGUCAGGUGUCAGGUUGAAGCAGCUGCAGUAUUCUGCUGAAUAUCUCAUGGAGCCUUCUUGAAUUGUGCUCCAUAAACAAUGUCAAAUUGCUGGACAAAGAUUCGUUGAUGUUAAUUGCCAUUGUUCUCCGACAACUACUUAGUUGCACAUGAUUAAUACAUACUCAUUUUUUACGCUAAAUUACUGUUAAUUUCCAGGAUCAUUAUUCUAUGAGAUGUUGUGGAAGACUUGAAUCGCCUUGUUCUUACCUUGCAAAUCCUUUCUUGAGUACAUGAGUUCAUUUUUAUGGUUACAUAUGAUCUAUCAAAAGUUGAGAACUUUCUUUAUGGGCUUUCAAUAAACACCUGCCCUUUAUCAUGCUGAACUCUUGGUCAAGGGUUAAGGCGGAUUUUGCAAGGAGUGGCUUCCCAUGAAACUUAAAGAACAACCAAAGGGAAGAGAGACAUAUACUUCUUAUGGUUAACCUCCAUGGUCUGCUAGACUUCCAAGUGUUUAAAUGGAAUAGGAAGAAAAGGAAUGGUAUGAUUAGAAAACUGCAAGAGCACUUCGUAUAGUGACGUUGAAAUAUAACCCUAGUUUUUUUUUUAAUGAUUAAAUUCUUAGAAGAUUUAGUUAGUUCGAAUUGUUCAAGUGAUUCUCUGUAUUAAUUACAAGAAAGUUCAAUAAUUCACAAAAUUUUCAAAUUAUUCUUGAUACCACAAACAAUAAUAAGUGAUUAACAAGUUUUUGAUGAACUACUUGCAUAUUAUUUAUUAAUAAUUUUAUUUUCUGUAGAAGUGUCUAUUGUUUGUUGUUGACUCUCUCAUGCUUGCUUCACAUGCUCUAGUAUAUGAAUGAAGCGAUAUUGUGCAGCUUUCAAAUCCCUAUCAGUUAUCUGUUUUUGUCUCUGUUCUUAUUCUGAACUUUUUGGAAACUUGGUUCAGAAUUCCUGAAUGUUGAACUUGUUAUUCUAUCAAUCCCAAGUUUUGGUAAGGAAAAAAAACUAAGAUUACCAUUUUAACAGCUGGUCACAUAGAAAGCCCAAACUGUGAAAAGAUUUUUUUUAAAAUUAUAAUAAUAAAAAAGGUUCAUGCAAUAGAUACUAGCUAAAGCCGCUUUUUGGUCGUAUUCCAUGGUUGCUCCAUGCGUUAUCUAUUAUAUAAGAAGAUAUGUGUAAAAGGUGUUAUAUGUAAAUGUUCAUGAAAAAAAACAGAAGGUUUUCCUAUUUUUGGGAACAUGGGGCAGUGUAGAAUGCCCUCAAGAUUUUAUUAAAGACCAAGUAGAGAUGCAACAGUAGAAUACAGAUUAAUGCUAUCUAUUGAACUAUUCCACUUUUGAAGUCCUUCCUGAUCAAUGAAGCAAAUGAAUAUUUUCAGGAAAAAGGAAAAGGUUUUCUCCACAUAAGAUAUAACUCGUUUUUUAAUAGAUGAAGCACAUUAUACAUAUUUGCAGAUCAAGACCUCCAUUAGCCCAGAAAUUUAUCAUACAAAUCAAAUUAAUUUUGUAUUCCCCUAAUGAAAUAUCUAUUUAGUUUCUUCCGGUUCCUCCUCUGAUUCAGCCCUUGGAGCUUCUAGCUAGUGAUGAGUACUUUAAUCUCUAAAUGCAAGACAGAGUCAAGAUCAUAAUUCUUUCCAUGAUGGCUAGCUAAGAACUCAAAAUUUAAUGAUGAUGGUGUUGGGAAGUAGGAGUGGCUCACUGGCUAAAUGCUCCAAAAGGUUGAGUGAGGAGAGAAAUGGGAAAAUUUGCAGUAAAUAUUUCCAUUAUGGCUGAUGAAAAGUUAACUUGGGGCCUAUUUGGAAAUUGCUGGGAUGAAAGAAGCUUAUCUGAAAAUAUAUAAAAGAGAGGUCUUUAUUUGCAAGGAAGGAGUUAUAUUCAGAAAACUUUUCUUUACCUUUUAAUCUGUUUAAUAUAUGAAGUCAAUCAGCAAGUGUAUCACAUUAUCUCCAUAUAUAUAUAUAUAAUUUCCCAGAAGUUUAGAGUGAGGAGAUCCUUUCAAAUGUGGAAUUACGAACUAACUGCACUUUGUGAGAUUGAGUUUUCCCAGCUGUCCAAUCAGCCAUCAAUUUCAGACUAUUUUUGAUGAGUAAUCUCUGCAUUCUAACAAUUCAGUGACAACUACUAAACUCUAGUAGAUGGAUUGAUUCGGUGAUUUCGUUUCUGUGAGUUCAUAAAUUAAUAGACUCUGUUGAAAAGUUUAAUUAAACCUGAAGUAAUUAUGCUUUAAUAUAUUAUGAUAUGUCUGUGAUAAUUGUGUCCAUUACUUAUUGCACCUGGUGUUAAUUAUGAAAUGAUUGCAGGACUUCUCCAAUAAAUUGCUUUUCUACCUUUCAUGUAUGCAGCUUUUUUAUGAGAUAGUGGCCUCAGGUUCAAAUGUCAGCUCUGCAACAUACUCGAUUCUUUUGAAGAAUCUUUUGGCUGCUGGGAAAUGGCGGAAAUAUAUUGAGGUGCAUAAACUUGUUAUAAAUUAGGGGUAUUACACUUGGUAAAUUGCACAUGUUGUUUGCUCUUUAGUUUAGUCAGACCUUUUUAAUUAAUGAUAUAGUGGUACUAAGGUUCGUCGAACCGGUACCGAGACCCAUACUGGUCGGAGAGCGGUUCGGUUUUGUACCGGUUCGAACCGAGCUAAAUCGGGAGUGCUGAUUCACGGACCGACACUCCCUAAUUUAUAUUUUUUUUGUAGUUCUCUCUCUUUUCGAACUUUUUCUAUAAAUUUAAGCCUAAUUUGAUGUUUUUUGUUGUCUUUUUGAUGUUUUUUUGAUAUUUCUAUAUUUCGGUAUAAGCUAGAUGCAUCUUAUUGCUUCAAAAUGAUACAAUCAUAAAAUGGACAGCAUAAAAUAUUCUUAAAUCAAGAUACAAAUCAUUGCCAUAGCCCCACAGCGGGACUCAGAUUCGGUGAGAACUGACGAACCGGACGGAACUGUUUUCCAUUGCAGAACCGACCGGGUCGGAGACCGACCAGAUCGGCUCGGACUGAAUCAGCCAGUUCGGCUCGAUUCGGACUGAAUCAGCCGGUUUGGCGAUCGUUGAGUGGUACUGGUGUCAAUUCACUCACAAUCACAUAUGGUUGUGUGAAUAAAAGAAAGCACAGGAUAAAAUUCAUGUACUUUUUUACAGAUCGAUCAAUCUCCUCUUUAGGCCCUCCAUUACAUCUCUCCUGUCAUACUUAUUUGUCUUCUAUUAUAGCUUGCAUCCCUUGAAACAAAAACCAAAAGACACUGCACUAAAUAUUGCCUGCAAUGACAAUGGUAUCCCUUCAGUUCUGUUAUCUAUCACAUCAUUUACUGCAAGGACCAUGCUACUAUAAAUAACGAUAGGCCAUAGGCAGCUUUGUCAAGUGAAGCCUUGAAAUAUCUUAAACCUUAUUUUUUUUCUAUCUUGAAAAAUUAGAGAACUCACUUUAUAAAAAGAAGCUGGAAUUUCUGGUUCUCCACCUUUCCCUGCAUGAUAAGAAUUGUAUAUUGAGAAGACAAUUUUUAUUGCCCAGCAUUUAAAUGUUAAAAUUAUCUUCAGUUGCUGCAUUCCUUGAGAAUCUGGUUUCAGUAAGUCCUGCUGAGUGGUGAUAGCCUUUGAUGUAGCGGUAACUUAGAUCAAGCAUUCCAUCUUUUACAGCAGCUUCAGAAUUAUUUCCAUCACCAUCAUCAUAGUAGUAGCGGUAGUAGUUAUUAUUGUUCAAAUUGCUAGUAUUAGGCAUUGCUUACAAAAUAUUGAUGUAAGUUUUGCAUGCACAGGUGUUGCAAUGGAUGGAGGAUGCAGGAAUUCAACCAUCGCUCUAUAUGUACAACAAUGUUCUCCCAUAUGCAUGGAAGGACAACAGCAUGGAGCAUGUUGUUCUGAUCCAAGAAAGAAUAAGUAAGAUAACAUAUACAUACAUACACAAUACGCACACACAUAUGCAUAUAUCCAGUGCUUUGGUUAGUCCCAUCUGUUUGCUCAUCAAAAAAAUGAAAAACAAAUCUGUUUUGUGAGUAAUUUGCUGACUAACCAUCUGUCAUAAACUUUUUUAUGGCUCCGUGUUUUAUUGGAGGUGCAUUUACAUGUAAUUUGUAAACCAUUGUUUUGUCUAUAAAAAUGAAAAAUGACGUGGAAGGUCUACUCUAGAAAUGUGAGGUAGUAGGUGAAAAUUUAAAAAUGCAGCUCUUUGCAUGUAUGAGGUAAGGUUGAGGGUAAGCCUUAGUGGAAUGGUGAGCUUGCUCCAUUGUGACUUGGAGGUCAUAUGUUUGAAAUACGGAAACAACCUCUCCGUAUGCGGGGAUAAGGCUGUGUACAUUUGACCCUCCUCUGAUCCCGCAACGGUAGGAGCCUCGUGCACCGGACUGCCCCAUUUUUACAUGUAUUAGGUAUUUGAAAGUUGUCCAUAAUAUAAUUCAGAUGCUUCUGCAUCUCAUUUGAUAUCUUUAGAAGUCAUCUUAUCAAUCAUCCUCAGCAGAUUAAUGGUCUUGUUGUUGUACUUCACGGCAUUCAAGUGUACCAUUUACGAUAAGGUCUUUUCAUUAUUUGCAUAUGAUAAUGUAAAAUUUCCCCCAUCUUUCAAGCUUUCUGUAAUGAAAUGCUUUCUUCUUGCUUGACACCUCAAGCUCACAAGGAUAGCUUUAACAUAAUUCCUAAGCUUUAGAAAUAUGUCAGCUUAUUUAAUUUCUGUAAUGUGUUUUGGUUGAGGUGGCUAGGAGGCCCUUGGCAAUGAAGACCACUAAUGCCUAGGCAGUUGUCUAGUGUCUGAGGUGUUGAACAAGAAAAAAUUGAAGGCUGGAGAGAGAGAGAUGAGGGAGAAGAAAAAUUGCAAGGUAACAAAGAAGAACAGAACGAUAAAAAGGGAGUAAGGACACAGGUUAAAGGAUUAUUAAGACAAGUUAGAGGAAUAAAAGGAAAAGUAGAGGAAAAACGGAAAGGGGCAGAAGUGGGAAUGCAACUAAUAAAAGAAGCUUGAUUAUUAAGGUGUGACAAUGUGGAAGCUAAGAGGAAUUUGAAGUGAAAUGAAAGAGAAUGAAAGUAAGAAAACAAAAGGAAAAAUAGGAAAUGGAGAGAGAGAGAGAGAGCAUUGCUAGAUCCUAGGGCUGGGUUCUGUUACAGACCUCCACUUUCAAGGUGGUAUGUGGAAUGGGUUCAAAUAAGUGAAGUCGUAGGUUGCAAAAAUUAAGUUGCUAUGGCAAGCAAUCUUUAGAAUAUGAAGUUAUGAACAAUCACUGUGAAAGAAUCUUGUUACCUCGAUUCUAAAAUAGCAAGAGUUGCCUAUACACACUUAACAAUUUUUUUUUAAAAAAAUUCUCUCUCCCUCCCUCCUUUCUCUCAUAAUAUGUGCGCGCUGUGUGUGUGUGAGAGAGAUCCAGUUAUCCUGUCCAGAAAUGGAGGCAGAAUCAAUGCAAUGUCAGGUUUAUGAUGAAAGGAGUGUUUAGAGACAGCUCAAUAAAUGUCUUUCUUUUCUUUUCAAGAGGUGGAAUAAAACAAUCUAGUUGACUCAUAGUGAUCAUUCACCUGUAAUGCACUGUAUGUCCCAUAAUUGGUUCCAUUCUUCGGCACUUUCCUGGGAGUUGACUAUUCAUUGCACUUUCCUGGGAGUCGACUAUUCAUGGCUAUUUCUUGGGAGUCGACUAUUUGGCACUGUAUGCACUUUCCUGAUUCAGCAUUGGAGAUAUAUGGAUUGUUCGCUGAAUUUGUUGUUCCACAGAAGUCUUCUGUUGUAUGCUACUUUCUUCCUCCUUUUUUUCCCUACUGGAAAAACAAAAAACUUGAAGUCCUUGUAAAGAAGUCUUCUUCUUUCCUAACCCCCCAAAAGGGCUUGAAUUCUCUUCAUGUAAGACAAUAUCUAUGAUGCAAAUAACAAUUUUGGGCUGGCAUAUUCUGCUAACCGCUGUGUCUGUUAUGAUUUGAUCGUUAUAUUUAAGUAUAUCUUGUGCGUAACAGAUCUUGACUGAUUUUUUUAUUGCUUAGGGAACUGCUAUUAAGUUCUUUUUUCAUCUAUUUAAAAUUUUCUUGUUGUAGGCUCUUUGAGAGAAAAAGUUCUUUGAGCAUUGAAGGUUAAGUAUGCUAGAGAUUUCACAAUGAUGAGCUAGCCAGUGGAUGGGGCUGCUUGAGGCGACUGUAUCUCAGGUUCAUAGGAACAACUACCUAAAGAAAUGCAGUACAUUUAGCAUGCGGAAAGCACAAAUGAGUUAACUGGUGUGUGGGCUUGUUUGGCAAGGAAAUUCAAGAGCUUAAGGUCAUAUUCUGCCAGCACCUCAGCUAAACAGGUAAUUCAAGAAUUUGAAGGCAUGACAACCCAAGUGGUUUGUGCGAAUCACGGUGAAGAUUACACAUGGUGCUAAUGUAUAUUUCUGUUCUGUAUGGUUGGACUGUAGAAUGGGCAUCAUUUUAAUUAUUGAUUUCAUCUUGAUGCAGAGAUUUGAGGAGUUACAGAUCCUCUUCAUCCUUUUCAAGCUUGUCGACUGUUGCUAGAAAAUUUGUGUGUCCAGGUAUCAUCACCAGCCUUUCACAAGAAAGGCUGUUAAUUAAUACAGUUGCAGUAUCGUUUAUGAAAUUAUGCUGCUUUUUCUCUUGGCUAGGUUUUCUGUUGUGGCAUUAACAGGGAAGUGGGGCCAAAUGCUCCAUCAUCUGUAGAGCCCUGUUGUUUCCAUGUUUAUUUCUUUUGCUUUUAACAGGCUCUUAUUAUGAAAUUAGCAGAUGAAGUGGGGCUGAAUACUCUGUAUCAUCUGCAAAGCUGGAAAUUAACUAGUUUAGAUAGGUUGUUUCACUGGAGAAAGUUAAGAAAAGGUUGUAGAACAGUUAAGAGACCAGCAAUCUCUUUGUUCUCAACCAUGUUGUAAUGAAGUCUGGAAUGAAGAUGAGUGAGAAUGUUAACUAUGCUAUCUAAUUUGAAGUCUGGAAUAAGAUCGGCUCUCUAGCAUAUUGCAUAAGCUUCCACUUUUUGCAUUAUGGCAAAUCUACUUCCCCGGUUUUGGGUCUCCCUCCCACUGCUUUUCCCAAGUAUUAUGCAGGUCGCAAUUCACAAUUGUACAAAGGUUCAAACUAUAAGCGAGAAGAUAAAACCAGUUAGCUAUAGAAGAGAUCAGGUAUUGGAUCUUUUAGGGGAAUUGGCACCUCACUGAAAUGCUGCAUCGAGCUAACAACAAAGGAAACAGGUCCUCUCCUGAAUGAUGCGGUCUCAAUCAUCCGGUUGGCUUAAAAACUCAAUCGGCAAAUUAUGAGGACUGGACCAUGUCACCGUGGACCUCUCAUGUCAUGGCCCUCCUCUGCUGUACUAGUAUUUUAUGCAGCAUGGAGUGCAGAACAAUCUUCCCACCAAGUCUUGAGGGGAUGGUAAUGGGUUGGGUGGGUUCAUGUCGUCAGAGAUGACAAUAAUAUACAAAAAAUCUUGACCACACAUAUUGAUGGUCUGAAAUGAUCCGUUUAACUAAAACAUAAUUUAUUUUACAUCCUUAAUGGACCCAACCUAACAUGACAAACCUGUUUGUUACUCAUUCUUGCCUGUUUAUUUUUAAGGGUAUGUUUGGUUUCAAAGAGAUGGGAAAGGUAAAAAUAAGGGAUUUCUAUAGAAAUGGAAAAGUUUUCUAGAAAAAAUAGUUUUAAACUUUUCGAAUUUAGAGGUAGAAGAUCUUUUUNNNNNNNNNNNNNNNNNNNNNNNNNNNNNNNNNNNNNNNNNNNNNNNNNNNNNNNNNNNNNNNNNNNNNNNNNNNNNNNNNNNNNNNNNNNNNNNNNNNNNNNNNNNNNNNNNNNNNNNNNNNNNNNNNNNNNNNNNNNNNNNNNNNNNNNNNNNNNNNNNNNNNNNNNNNNNNNNNNNNNNNNNNNNNNNNNNNNNNNNNNNNNNNNNNNNNNNNNNNNNNNNNNNNNNNNNNNNNNNNNNNNNNNNNNNNNNNNNNNNNNNNNNNNNNNNNNNNNNNNNNNNNNNNNNNNNNNNNNNNNNNNNNNNNNNNNNNNNNNNNNNNNNNNNNNNNNNNNNNNNNNNNNNNNNNNNNNNNNNNNNNNNNNNNNNNNNNNNNNNNNNNNNNNNNNNNNNNNNNNNNNNNNNNNNNNNNNNNNNNNNNNNNNNNNNNNNNNNNNNNNNNNNNNNNNNNNNNNNNNNNNNNNNNNNNNNNNNNNNNNNNNNNNNNNNNNNNNNNNNNNNNNNNNNNNNNNNNNNNNNNNNNNNNNNNNNNNNNNNNNNNNNNNNNNNNNNNNNNNNNNNNNNNNNNNNNNNNNNNNNNNNNNNNNNNNNNNNNNNNNNNNNNNNNNNNNNNNNNNNNNNNNNNNNNNNNNNNNNNNNNNNNNNNNNNNNNNNNNNNNNNNNNNNNNNNNNNNNNNNNNNNNNNNNNNNNNNNNNNNNNNNNNNNNNNNNNNNNNNNNNNNNGUUUCAGCUACCAAGGGAUAUCAUAUUUGGAACAAUCCAACUCAUCCACCAAUACUCCUUGAGGGUGUUUUUAGCUAGAUUCUUUGUUAGGAUUGAAGCCUCAAUCCCAUCAGUGCAAAAUAUAUGUCUGUCCACUCAUGAAAAUCUGAAAUAUUAAUGAUGAUAUGCAAUACUUAGAAUGCCGCAUCAUAGAAUUGGAUCCUCAUUAUUGCCAGUGCAAAAUAAGCAUUAGGCCACAUAAUUCAUGAAAUCGACUAUGUCAGCGGUAUGGUGCCAAUGUUUUAAAAAGAUUGUUGCAAUAUGUGGGUAGUGAAGAGACUAAUGGCGCAUACACAUCGUAUGGGUUGCAUAUGUGGUAGUAUUUUGAAUAUUUUAAAUAAAUAAGAUAUAUUAAAUACAAUGAUAGCAACCUUUUUGUAAAUAAAACCAAUAAGUUAGUACAUAUUUGUUAGUACUUAAUGCAAUAAUUAUGGCAUAACUAAUAUAUUGAUAUCUUUAAGAUGCAAUAGCUGCCUUGCUUAAAACCAAUAUCUAACCUAACUAUUGCUUGAACUUGCCUCAUAUGCAUGGGUCUUCCUAAUGGUGGGCUAUAUAUGUGGUCUCACAAUGCUGAAGGAGCUAUAUAUGGAAAUCGAAAAAUGAUUAAUAGGCUACAAGUGAAAUUGCACUAUGCUAAUCUAGCCUUAGAUGUAUUUGCAUAGUGCUAAGUGAACCAUGCUUUUGGCUAAUAUGCAGCCUGACCAGAUAAAGUGAAGGCUUGUGGUCUAGCCUUCUAGGGACUGCAUAUGCAUAUCCAGUCUCAUACAUCACAUUUCAAACACGUACAAUAAUGACUAGAUUAAUGAUCUAAAUUUGUUGAAACCCAUUGAAUUUUGGUUCCUACACAUUUAAAGAUCUGUUGAUUAAGAUCGAUAGUGUGAAAUCUUUUAGCUUUAUACUCUACCACAUAUUUAAAUUUUAAUAAAUGCUUUUCUUGCUAUUUUCAUCUGAUGCAUAGUUGAAAGACCUUUAAAAGAUGUAAAUUUAUUUUUCUAAGCAUUUUAAAUGUUGUGAUUUAUAAUCAAUGGCAUGGAUUUGCUAUUUUAAUGGCCAUCAUUUAUUUUGUGUGGGUAGGAUUUAGUCUCCUUUGUUACCGUCCUAGCUUAGCUGUGUACACAGACACACACAGUGAGAGAAAUCCAUUUAUCCUUUGUGCCUCCAUAUGUAGAAAGAAGUUAAAUCAUUAUUACUUUAAAACCUUUAUCCAGACUGCCUUGAAUGGGUUAAAUUUUUUAGACAGUUUUUGUCAAAUAAUAUCCUCCAAAGAUAAUGAUUAAUUUCUCUUUUAAUAUAGUGUAUUCUAAAAUUUUAAAGUGUGAAUUUAAGUUUUGAUAGUGUUAUCUGUAUAUCUUGUUAACUAUGACCUUCAUAUUAAAACUUGGCUAUUGAACUACUUGGCUUAAAUCAUAAACUGAGUGCAAACAAGUUAUUUCUAUCGUAAAAAAAAUCAAGAAUUUCAUACUUUUAAACAUUUUACCUUUGGUCUAUGUACCAUGAACGAGCAUAUCAAGCAAGUUUUAAAUACCGUGGUUUUCCUUAAACAACAUGUCUCCAUGAGAUAGAAGAUGUCCUGUUGCAGUUCACUUCUCCACUUAUCUCAUCACAACAUUUGGGAUGGUUCAUCAUCUCAACACUCAAGAUAGUUUAUCUUAAUUAUGCGUGUAGCCAACUUUGAAAUGUUGAGUCGACCCCGAAAUGAGAUCAAGCUAUAGUAAAAUGGUAUACUAACCUUGAGUGACUAUGGCUGCCUAAACUCUCUCCUGAAAUUUGGAUUGGCUUGUUAACUUAUCCAUUCCUUUGGACAAAGAGUACCUGGUUUGGCCAAAAGACCUCUGCAUGUCAUCAUGCAUCUUAGGAGUAGCAUAAAAAGAGGAAUUAACAUUAUUGACCCUAUGAGAGACCACUAACACCUUGCAAACUGGGGCUUCACGCUUGGGAAAAGACUUCCAUGAUUGGAAACCAGCCGCUAGUUACCUGCAUGCUGGAAAGGAACCAAGACAAGAAGAUGAGGCAUCGAGACCUAAAGGCAAAUCAUAUUAAAUCAUAGCACAAUGUGCACAACAUGUCAAAUUAUAUCUAGACCAUGCUAAUCCGUAUAUUUUGAACCAUGUUGCAAUAGCUUGUGGGAUUUUGGCGGCCCAAAGUCACAGGGCGUGCGCUGUAGCCUUUUUGACUUUUGCGGCCCACCAUGGCCUUUUUGGCUGAGAGCAAUAUUUAGCGCCUUCCCAUAACUGAUUAGCCGCAGCCACAGAAAAGCCCGUCACCUUACUUUUUUUUUUUUUCUUUUUUUUUUCUUUGUUACCUACUUUUUUUUUUCUUGUUCGAGACAUCCUUUCAGCGAGAUGAUCGAGAGAAGCUCACACGAGGACACGACGGUACCCGGUCAACUCAGUCAGGAGGGUGACAUAGUCAGACAGAGAGGGACACGAAGGCUAAGAAGGCAGCUGCCCAGUGAACCAAAAAAGAAAAACAAAAAAGCCCCAAUGGAGAGUGUCGAGAAGGAGUCUCGGAGCAGCAACAAUGACGGUUUUGGUGGAUCUGCUAGCCACGGAGAAGUGGAUGACAAGAGAGCAUUAUUUAUGACACACAGCUGGAGGCUGGUCUUCGGUACAUCGAUAAGUUCCAGUUUAUACAUGCUACACAGAAUAGGAACUACGGUAAAUGAUCUGGUAGAGCCUGCGAGGAUAUGAUUGCAUAUAGGAGACAUGCUCCUUGAGGUCAUUUAGGAAGACACGAUGCAGUUACAUAAGACCUUGCACGUAGAAUAGGAUCCAUAAACGUAUCAAGUUCCGAGUCAUAUACUAGAUCAUAUUAUCCACAAUCAUAAGACUCAUAUAGAUACGAAUAUGGUGCAUCUCAUGCAUCUUCCGAUGGCUACUAUCCUACAAAGUCCGGAGCAUCUCACGGGUCGGAUUUUGCUACCGAGAUAUUUGGGUGAGCCCCUUUACAGCUAUAUUAUCAGCCAGAGAACACUUUUCCAGAGCUAGAGCUUUAGCGAGAAAUCCGAGAGUUCUCGUAACCCAGCGCGCGUUCCUCAAGGAAUGAGCAUACAAGACUACAACGCUGCUUGAUUAGAGGGGUGGGUUAAUCUGCCUAUUUAUUAUGCUGAUGAUUCGGAUAUCUACUAGAAGCAUCGCCACUCGACCCAAGAGUGCUUUAAAAGUAUGUAAUUGAUUGCAUCUUCAGUUGAAAAUAUUUUAUAUUAUUUAUUUCAUGAUUUGUAUCAUUUCAAAGAAAUAAGAUGCAGCAACUAGCUUAAAUCGGAAUCAUAGAAAUAUAAAAAAAAAUCCAAAAGAUAUCAAGAAAACAUCAAAAAAAAAUCAAAUUAUACUUAAAUUUGUAGAAAAAGUUUGAAGAGAGAGAAAACUCUCAAAAAAUUACAAAAAAGUUUGAAAAUAAUUGCCGAACCGAACAAACCGGUUCGGUACUGGUACCGAACUGGUUCCGGCGCCGAUCGGUAUCAGUACCGGUUCGGCGAUCCUUAAGGAGAAGCCUUUGUUAUUUUAUUAUUUUUUUUAAAGAAAGAAAUAUGCUAAGAAAGAUGAUCCCAAAACUUUGAAGUAAGACUUAAUGGUUAUGGCCAUGGUUAUUGAAACAUGUUAACAGAAAAGCAAUACUUCAUUAUUCAGGCCAUGAUGCAGUAGAUUUACCCCAAACAGAUAGUCGCUAGAAUAAUUUAACCAGAUGUCUGUUGUCCAUCUGAAUGUGUUACAUAUACUGUAUCACUUUCACAGGGCUGAAAAAGGCCUUGUGAAUCAGACCAAAAUACAUACAUAUGCACCUAAAUCUUAACAAAUUGAACAAACUCGAGCAAAGGUAAGCAACCAUACAUACCUCUUGGUACAAAUAAAAGAAUUGCCUAAAACUCUGCAAAAUCAACCCAAGUAAUAAGUGGCGGCCAUGAACAUACAGCAAGCUGCUUUAACGGAGUUUACUGACCCAAUCUCAAUCCAAACAUAACAGCAUGACAAAAUAGAAACUUUGAGAGCUGGAAACAGCAGCAUGUCCAUAGAUACAUUCUCAAAAGAGAUCCACCUUCUUUUUGUGCAUGUCUUGCUUCCACUUGGGCUGCUGGUAGAAUGCUUCUCUUGUCAUCCCAAAAACAGUCUGGAACUCAUCAUCAGACAGAUAAGACUACACAAAAAAAAGGAGAGGAUCAACAGAUGAGCAUAAAUGGAGCACAUUCUCUUGAGAAAUUGUUAGCAAAAUCUAGGAUAAUAAGCUUCUAGAUUUUAGAGAAACUUUAGAGCAUGAACCUCUCUUCGUUUGUAAUCAAUUCCUCUAACAGGGUUUCUGGACUUGGAUUUUAGUCGUUCAUAACUGAAUAUACGUUCACCUCCGUCAUCUACUGGUGAAUCCUCUUUCAACUCAGAAUCAACUCCAUUAUCCUCUGAUUCUCUUUCCUCCAUGCCUUCUGCUGAAAUUUCUAGGGGAUCCCCCAUCUCAGAGCUCGCACCAUCAGUAUUCUCGCUAUCUGCAAUCAAUUGAAGGUAAAAUUUUAUUAUCCACUAAAUAAUUUUACUAUGGUAAAGAUAAGAUCCAUUUGUAAUUCGCAUGUACAAGGUGUGAUAUCAUUAGCAUAAAAAUGAUAUAUUUCUGCUAUACUCUCAUGGGAUCCAACCAACAUCACCAUGACCUGCAAACGUUAGGUCUAAAAUUCUCAUGGAGGUUCAUGUGAUAUUAAUGCAAUUGGUGCAUUCUUUUGUGCUUUAAAGAGAAUUGGUAGAAUGUGAUGACUAUAAUGAGUUCAUUUUAAAAAAGAUUUUUUUAUAAAGAACUCUACAACUCUAGUUCACCAAUCAACUGAUCAUACAUGAAAUAUAUCAUAUUUCCAAACCAACACAUACCAACAGGAGUGAAUGUAAAUUCAGAUUUGCCCUGGACCCUACCAAAAAUAGACUAUUACCCAGUCAAAUAUAUAAAACCAUGGGGGAAUCUUGAACCUCAAAAUUGAAAAGCAAUCAAACAGAACAAAGCCAACACAGUCAAAAAAGGCCUUUGCAGUCAGUAACAUUCUCCCUAAGGAGUCCCAUCCACCCUAUAACAUUUGCUUCACACUACAAUUGGUAAUACUAACCAGAGCUCAAUCAUAAUUGUAUUUCCAGUUGAUUCAUCCAGAAUAUUAAUAUUCUCAAAUGCAGCAAAAGAAAAAUAAGAAAGGAGAUAAAUCUUUUUCAUCUAUAAUCAAUAAUACCGUUAAUACUGACCGUUCUAAGCACUUAUAUGUCCUAGAUAUUCAGAAAGCUUCAUUUCCUUGCUUGAUAACCAGUACUUUCAGGUUUACACAACUAAGAUACAGACCAUGAAAUUAGACCUAAUAAUAUCAUGAAGCCACUUUGAGUGCACCCAAUUUUAAUUAUUCAGAAAGUCUUAAAUUAAAACCUACACCAGCUCUGACUUGCAGCAUCCAAUUCCAGACCUUAGACCCAAGGUCAAUUUAGGUCUGGUCCAGGUCAUGGUUGAUUAAGAUCAAAACAUUCAUUCAAGGUCCUUCACACAAGGAACCCACAGUUCUGAGAUCAUACAUUAUGUAAAUAAAUAAAUUAAAAUAUGCUUGUCUUUCACUGUAUCCAAGAGUAGGCCGCACUAUGGAGAAAGCAGUGCAGUCACUAUGAUUAUAGACAAAACUUUGCUCCAACUAUUUUUUGGGGGUGUUUUGCCAGGUAACCUGCAUAUGUUAACCCAUACACAAGUGUAAAAUGUAAUUGGGUCCUUUGAUUCAACUGGGGGAAGAAGCACUGCUUCCAUGGAUAUCAUAAUUGGGCAUCCAAACAUCCCUCCAUCUUAAAGGAAAACAACUUGAUAUGUAAACUUGUUUUACUAACUCAAAGAGCAACAAAUCAAGUUAUAGAAAACAAAAACAAAAAUAAAGACACUCUACCAGCAACAGGAUGUUCUGGUGAAGGGCUUCUGCUCCUGAAUUGAUUAGCAGUGCCUUCAGAUUGUGCCACCUUCUGUUCAGCAGUUAGAACAGUUGAUAGUGCGGCAACGGCAGCUGCUCUCUGUGAUCCCUGUCUUGGAUGAGAUGAUGGCUUUGGAGCUGCAACUUUGGGCACAGAAGAAGGAUUGAAGGCGGAAGAUAAGGCUGCUAAUGCAGAUGCCCUUUGUGUAGGUCCACCAUGAUUUGGAGUAUUGGAUCUUGCACUUGACUGCUGGAGCACAGAAGAAGGAUUGAAGGCGGAAGAUAAGGCUGCUAAUGCAGAUGCCCUUUGUGUAGCUCCACCAUGAUUUGGAGUAUUGGAUCUCGCACUUGACUGCAGGAUAUCAUUAACAGUAAAUUAUGAUAAUUUAAUAAAGAUAACAUCUAGUAAUAUCUACUCACAAGGUCUCAGUAUAUUCCCACUAAUAUUUGUUGGGUGACAAGGGGCGUAAACAUCCUAAAUGAGCACGAAAAUUUUGUGAAAACAUAUUUAAGAAAGAAAAUGACAAGUGCAUCAGCUAGAUAUGGAAACAAUUGAAUAAUCAAUCGCAAAGAGCUUAUCUAAUGGCCAACUACAAACUCUUACCAUUUUGCACUUUGCUAUGAAUGCACUAUGUAUCAUGUUAUGCAGUUCCCAACGAGCAUCUUAAUGGUAAAUUAUUGACUGUUAGUUAGGCUGCAUGUAGAGGUUUUGUUGAUGUUAUACUUUACCUAAAUUUGAGAAAUUCAGAGUUUUGAAAAUUGAGAUUUUUCAGAAGAUGUUUAUGGAAUUCCAUUUCAACUAAAUGCCCAGUAUAAUCAGAUCAUAACUGGUUAGUUUGAAAGAUACAUAAAAUCAUGAAAUAUCAUGAUUUUUGUAAAACAUGCAGACAUACCUUUACACGACUCAGAAAAGCAUGUACUUCAGCUCAAACUUUCGAAUGAAAAUGUUAGAUAUAGAAGUUUACAGUAAAAUAUAGGUAAGUAUAUGAACGUCAGCUUCACGGAAAACAUAUAUGGAGAUGAAGGCUGUAGUUACAUCAUAAUCUGAAGAUUCUCCAAAAAUAUCAUUCCUUACUUUUGAUCGAUCACAUAAGAAUAAACAGAACAUUUAUGCUGUCUUCAAUAGGUCCAAAUGAAGAUCAAAUAGACAUGUUUUUUUAGAAAUGUACUUGUCAAGCACCAUUAAAGCAGACCAAAGCUUUAAUGAGCAAUUACAGGAUUAUUGCAAAAAUAGAAAUGUUGAGGAAAGGGCAUGAAAUAACAAGUUGAAUAUAGUAAACAUGAGGACAUUUCGCUGAUCUAUGGUAAAACCGAAGAAAAAUAUAUUAGACAAAGCUGACAUAUCUAAAUAAGGAUAAAAAUGAUAAAUUUUUUUGAAAUGACUCAUGCUGGAUACAGGCUAGAUAUGAUUACAGGGACCAGCAUGGGCAAAAAAAAAUUAAAGAAAAUUGUUUGAGAUGCAUACGGUAGGAAAAUGAAACUGGUGCAUAAACGAUUUGGAUCUCAAUAACAUGAAACUUCUACUUAAGGUGCCACACUGAAUUCUAAAACUGAAUAGAAUCUUCCUCCCAUACUUUCUUAGCCCUUAUAUUUUUUUUGAGAGAUUCAUUACCCAACACCCGCACUCAUAACACUUUAGUCAGCUAAUUAGGACUUACGGGAGUUAAUAAUAGACUGACAAAUUAAGAUUUCAGUACAAGCAUAGAGAUUUGAGAAAGGGAUUUGAAGUCGUCUUCCAUCAUAAGUCUGCUUUGCGAGAACAAUGAAGUGGGUUCAUAAAGCCAACCCCAAUCAGAUUGGAAAAUUCUUGUUAAAGUCUUUUCGCCCGCCCAGUAAAUAAAGGCACUUGCAUUAGUCUUCAAAUCAAUAGACUAUCUAGAUUCACUUUCCGCUGAUCUUUAUGUAGAGGAAGGGCUUACUUAUCGAGCCUCCUACCACUGCUUUGAUCGCUGACGGGACAGAAUCUGCGAUUCGACUUGAUGAAUACUACUUGGCAAAAUUCUUUUCUUUCUACCUAUAGUAGACCCAUGGAUUCAUCAGGCAACAUGCGGAUAGAAGACUGUUUAGCAGAUCCAAACUUUCAGAAGGAAACAGACGCAGGUUCUACAAAAUGUACAAUUUUCACCUUUUUAAAAUUUAAAGAAAUGUUCAAUAUUAUAGGGUCCACUUAGACUAAAGUUAAAUUUCUUAGUAAGGUCUGCAAAAUCGGUAUUGAGAACCAUAGCAGCAUAUUACUGAUUCGGCACAGUACAGAUGGCAAGAUAAGCACCUCGUACCGACCCAGGCUCCCAACAUUUGUUUCUCACCCCAAGCCAUGGUAUAGCUCAAAACUGGGUGCCAUGGUCAGUAUCAGGCAGUUCCAUUUGAUUCAGACUUGUAUGGACUGGUUCAGCUCAUAUAUCGAACCAAACAUAGGAACUGUUCUGGUUCUGAACCAUUACAAUACGGUAUGUCCCGGUAUAGGUGGUUCAGGAUGGUUUGGCAAACCAUACUUCUUAUUUCUUGUUUAUGUAGAUUCAAAAUUAACUUGUGCUCCUACCAAGUGUCAAUUGUCUCAAGGAAUACAAGGUAGGCUCCACAGUUAAGUGAUAUAAAUAUUGUGGUCUCAAAUACUGGUUAAUAACGCUAGCCAUAACUUAAGGUAUAGGUGUUUUAUAUCACACACAUGAGCUCAAAAACUGCUAUGUCACAUAUAGUACAUGUUCUGUAUUGGGCAUGUAUCAUCACAUAGAUAAAGGCACUAUAAGUUGUUAUUUAUAGGUGCCACAACUAAACAAGCCCUGUUCUUCUCGCUCUGCCACUCUCAAGUGACACCCUACCUAUCCUUUGCCUUCUACCAAGGUUCCCCCAUUUAGGGUAAAGGUAGACAGCAACAAGCAGUUUGUAACCUCCUCACUUGUAAUAUCUAGCAGAGGAUGGAAUGGCAGUGAAUUGCAGGCAGAGAAGAGGAAAAAUUUUCCACAUACACCAAUCCUAAGCAUUCUUUUUUAGUACUAUUUCUAUGCAUCAUUUUUUUUUAAUUUUUCAAUAAGGCAUAUGAUCUUUGGGUCUUAAAAUUUAUUAAAGGGUUUUGUAUCAGGGACUAGAGCUUUGGGUCAGGUUCAGGACAGCUUCAUGCUUACUUUGAAUCAUAUAAAAUUUGUAUUAAGAAUUCAGGGUCACCUUGGCCUAGUCUCAACAAUUUCCACUCGGAUAUGUAACGCUUUCUGGUCCAAGAAAUGCUUGUUCUUUCUAUGUGGUACAUUCCAAUUAAUACUUGGUUAAAAUGUUUUAAUUUAUGCCAUGCUUGAUAGACUAAAUAUCCUGAAGUCAAUUAUUGCAGUUUCAUAACAACAAGCUUCUGCUUCCAUAAAUUGAUGGGUAUCAAGAAGAAUAGAUGGUAUUGUGAAAAGCACCUAGAUGGUAUUAAGCCAGCUGCAUAACCAACAGCCUGUUGUUUGCAUCCAAAGAAAUAAUUGGAAAAAAAGACUUUUAAGUAAAGUUGGAGUAAAUCUCGCAUCGUCAAAAACAUAUGAUAGUCAAAAAUUUUAAUGCUUCAUAAUAUUGAUGGCAUCUCCAAUGAACCCAUGUCACAUAUAAACUCUGGUUGAAUGACAAACUAAUCAGGAUGAAGUAAAACAUUAUUACAAAACUUUACAUCUCUAAUUGACUAAUAGUGACUGUCAAGACAAACUUUUACCUCAGAAGCUUGAAAGGCAGUGCCAAAUAACAGCGAGAGCUUCUUUUGAAAAGAAUUUCCUUGAACCUGUUUUCCAUUUUCCAUUAAUAUACAUAAGAAUCAUGGGAACUCUGCAUGUCCCAGAGAACAGAAAAAAGACAACCAUACCAUAUGCUCAAAAUUAAUAGGAAAUGGAUUGAGAAGAGUCUGAUUAAUGUGUGGCUUCAUCAUGCAUUUCAUAUCCAUUAUGGGUAUAUGAUGAUAUUAAACAACCUAGCUACAUGCAUAGAUCAGUUGUUAAAUGUUGAAAAGUUGCUUCCAUGUAAAUAUACAGGGAAAAGCUUCAAUUUCCCAGUUGAUUCAUGUUCCAAUAAGAUCUUCAUGGAAGGAAUUUGAAUAAUGUUUGUAACACACUAACAGCUCACUAGUUCAGAGAUAGCAUACUUAAAGUAGUUAAGACAUGGCUUGCUGGUUCCAAUCAUGCCUCUGUCAUGCUUCAUUGCAUUUAAAAAGAAGUUAGACACAUGAUGCUUCCGAACUUAUCUAGGACAGCCAGAGGAGCUGCUAACGAUGACAACAUUGUUAUAUCUAUGAGAUCCUCAUCUAAAAAAUCAUAUCUAUCAUUUGUUCUACGGCCUAGAAUGGUUGCUUUCAGAUUGCAUCAGCUAACACAGACAUUAAAAAUGAGUAUUUCUGGUAUUCAUUCAGUAAAUGAUUCCCAAAUUAAAUGAAGGAAAGAAAAUAUGACAAAGAAGAAAAAUGGAUUACAAUAAUUUGCAAAUGUGAUGACACUGUCCUACUAUUUUUCCUAACAUACUAUUGACCUAGACAUAAGUCUUUGAUAUAAUGAAAUUAAUUCUCGACCACAAAGCAAACUUAAGAUUAAUGAUUUUUUUUUAUAUAUAAAUAAAAAAGGUGUUUGUUUUCCAUAUCCUGUUUUAGCCCGUUCAGGCAAUGCCAGCUUGGUUAAAAUGAACCCGUUUUAUAACAUCUAACAUGGCAUCUAUGGAAAUACCCUAAAGCCACAUAUACUAUACAGUUUAGCUCAUAUGUAAGCUUAAAUCUAAAAUUACAGCCCUAAAAUCUGUGGCAGCAAUUAAAUCUGAAUGUGGGAAAACAGAAUUAAAUUCUAAACCUAAGGACAAAUCUAACUAAGGACUCCAGUACGUUACCAUACCGGUCAUACCAUAUUGUAUUUGUAUGCCUCUUGAUGCCAUACUGGCACAUAGUACUACAUCUCACAUUUGUUGUGCUAGCACCAACAGAUGUGCCGGGUAUCGGUACGGUACUUUACUUAGAUGGAUCUAGGUACUGGAAUCAAGACUUUAACCCUUGCAUCUAACUGAAAGCUACCAAUUAACUCUACCUAAAUUGUUGCCUUAACUGCCUUGUAAAGUUGUUUUGUUGUUCUCAUCUUAUAAAGAAACUAAACACGGGCAUUUUAUUGGACUAGAACUAUUCCACUUAAUAAGAGAAAAAAGGUCAAGGGAGAGAAUGGAAUAAACAAAGAAAGUAGAUUAUAGUGCAAGUCUAAGGAGAACUUAAAAUACACAUUCUUGAGUACUUCAAAUUGAAGGCUAAUGGUUUUCACUAAUGCCCUUAUUCAUGUCUAUUUACAACACUGAGGUCCAACAUUUGACAUCUGUUAUAUUACCAACCUAAAUCUAUUUUUAGAAGCAGAUGUUGUUGCAGAUUGCAAUACUUUUCAAUUUUCGAAUUAAUCGUAGCAAAAUAAAGAUAGUAUCAAUUGCAUAUGCAAUUAAAUAAACCCAAAGUAUGUCGUACCGGUCCGAACCAGAUGGUAUAGGGCAUACCAUACUGGUUCGGUACCGGUAUCUUGUAAAAGUGGCAUACCAUUACUGCACUGUACCGACACUGUGCUAGUGUGGCACCGAUACAGAGUCCGGUGCCAAGACGACAAACCUUGAAUAAAUUUAUUUAUGGGGAUGAUACAUUUUGAAGUAACUAAAUUAUCGACAAUUUGAGGCUUAACGAUAAUUGAUUUCAAGAUCAGGUCAAAGAAAGCACCAUGAGAAUAAAAAGAAUGUGAAAACCUAACUGACAUCAAUACAUAACUUCAUUAUUUUUGAUAACUUCAUCUCAAAUUUAACAUUUGUUGAAUCUUACAGCUGCGCAAAUUGUGCUAACAUUUAAAUUUUUCUUGGAACAAUUAUAGGUGGGCGUCACCACUUGACCCCUUGCACCAACCUAAAUUUACAAGAAGAAUACAAAAAGUGCCAUCUUAUAGAUGUUUUUUUCUCCGACUUCUUUUAUACGUCAUGAUGCAUCUCGAUAAAUUCUUUGGUCAUCAAAAUCCUUAAAAUCAUAAUCAUCCAAUAAAAUAUUUCUUAGAAGAUAAUCCUCAAGAGUCAAGACACAUUACUUGGAAGAUCCCCAGAAGUAGUCCCAGAAGACAAUCCUCAGGAAACAUAAACCCUAAAAGAAAACGCUCAGGUGACAUAAUCUUCAUAACAUCAACCACUGAAUAAUUUUCAAGAGAAACUUCUCAAAAGAACAUUGUUCUUGGAAGGCGAUGUCCAGGAGAUUCUCAGAAGACCAUACUGGAAAGGACAUAAUUCUUAGAUCUCUGCAAUUUAGCAAAAAGCAGCACACCUCUUCAAUCUUCCAUUCUUGCAACAUUUCAAAACCUCUUUUAAUCAGUCCACUUUUCAACAAAAAAAGAGAAAAAAUCAUGAUGGUCAUAAAUGGGAAGGCAUCAUCCAUUAUCAAAUUUUUCCGGAAACAAGAAAGUUUUGCAACUCGUUUUUUACUUCUAACUCCCUAAACUGUUACUGCAGAUUGAUCUGAUUAAAAAAAAGAAAGAAAGGAGCUAGCAAUGCCUAUGAUGAUGGCAGCUAAAAUAGUAAUUCAAUCAUGAUCAUUAAAUGAAAAGGCUCCAUCCAUUAGAUUAAUCAAUUUAUUUUGGACAUAAUAAAGUUUUCAAUCUUUUUACUUCGAACUCCCUAUACUGUUGCUGCAGAUUGAUCUAUUUUCUAAAGGAGAUAGAAAUGCCCAAGAUGAAGGCGAUUAAAAUAGUAUCCCUAACAUGAGCCCAUCAUCUUACAGAAAAUUGUCUGAGGCCAGGUUUUUUACCCCAAAUGGCCAAAUUUCCUCAAGAUGUCAAGUCAUGUCUUUCUAAGCACACUCAUCGUCAUUCCAUGCAUCAGGCACAUGAUGCAUGUGAGAGGAAGUGUAUGUAAUACUAGAGAUAAUUACCAAAGGAUUUCCUUUUCUAGAGAAAAGGAAAAUUGUAUGAAUCAUGGUGAUGCGGAGGUAUUUUAUUCAGCACAUUCCUUUUUCUUUUUACGAGAAUUCCUUUUUAAGAAAAAAACUGAAUAAAAAAUGGAUAGAUGUCAUAUCAUGGGCAGACCUAUUUUUCCUUUUAUUAAGAGUUUCCCUGCAACCUUAGGCUUACCCUAUUAGAGCCCAUUUUUUGGCGGAUUUUUGUUUGCUGCAUGGAUGAAUACUGUUUGAAUGUCACAGAUGACUGGUAUUAACUGAAAGUUUGCUUGAGGUGUAUAUUUUGAUGAAAGAAUGGAUAUAUGCAUGUGACUGUAUCCUUAGUGGGUAGCCAUGUGUGUGUGCCACUAGUUAAGAUCAUCCAUUUACUUAUCUAAGAAAUCUUUAGUCAAAACAAUGCUUUAGUAUUUGCUUAUGUUACCAAAAUAAAUGAUCUAAAAAGUUCUCUAUUUCAACAUUGAAGUUACACAUAAAUGAACAUUGAACCAAGAACAAGAAAUGAUAUCCUAAGAGUGCAGAACAUACAACUGCCUUUGUUCCAUCCCAGGAAAAAUAUGUGGCAAAGAAACAUGGCUCAUUGCCUUCUGUAACUCUGUAGAGUGGCACAUCUGGAGAUAACCCUUCCAAGGCUGCUGCAAGCUCUAUGUAUUUCUGGAAAGUUUCUUUAAUGAAGUUAAACAAAAGCAAACAGAAUACUAACAGCACAAGAAAAAAGGAAGCUUCUUACCUGACCAAUUUCAAAAGCCUUCUGCCUUUCCUUAGGAUCCACAGACUGACCAACCCAAACAAAGACUUCUGCAUGAGUGUCAAGUAUCAAUAUGUCCUCAGUCAACAGAUCAUCUUGAGAGAAGUUGUAUACUUCAGUAACCUGCAAGGAUGAUUGAGGGGAUUCAAUAAAAAUAUUAUGACAUCACAUAUUGAAACCAUAGAUAAGGCAAGUUAUCUAACCUCUAAUUUUCCUGAGGAAUCAUCAUACAUGCACGAGAAAAAAAGAUGGCAUCAGAUUCAGGUAAUUCAGAUAGGGAUAGGACAAGAUAAUGAGAGUCAUAUCAUCAUAAUUAGUCAACAAGUUCUAGGACAAAGCUAACCUUUACUAAAGGAAAAGGUGUACAAGUGAGGAUCUCUAACAGUAUCCUGUAUGACCUUUUUAGUGGUAAAGCUUUGCUUUCCACCAAGUGCAAACCAAAAUGCAGAGCUCUCUGUACCUUCCUUGGCAUGUUUCAGUGUAGCACCAGGCUGUAGCAUUAACAACUCCAUAAGUAGUUAAGAAAUAACUUCCCAUAGAAUUCAAGUAAAAUUGAUUCUUCAAAAUGUGAAAUGCAUCGCAGAAAACAAUAUAGUAACAAGCCUUAUCAUGUAAAUUUAUAAAAAUAGGCCAUUCAUUUUUCUAUGUAGAUUAUCUAGAAAGCAAAUUUCACAAUGCAUACAAUCUUUUGCAAAUAAAGCCAAUAUAAGCUUAGAAUCUUCUUCUUGAUCAUGCAAUAUAUAUGAUCUUAAGUGCAUAUUAUGUUUCCAUUCUUUGUUGAUAUAUGUUCUAAUACAAUAUAAGGCCCUAAUUUUUUUAUCUAUAUAGAUGAUUCAAAUAAUUGUAUACCUCUAUAAAAAUAUUAAAAAAAUCCUCCAAAACUUGUCUCUUCUCUGAAAACAUAUACAUAAUCUAGAAUGUAGAUUUUACAUUUGGUUGAUUGAGAAGAGGAAAUACAUGACAACAGAAAAAAAAAAAAUCUAGAGUAUACCUUUAAAAAUUCUGCAACUUUUGCAGCCCAAUUUUGCUGCUCGAAGGUAGUGGAACUUCCAUGCCAUAUGAAAACAGAAUGUCCAGAUUGCAAUAGGAAACAGUCAGUGGAGCUUAGGGACGCUGCUACCUGAACCAUAGAUGUUAAAUGGCAUUGAUGCUGACAUCCACGUCAGAAAAUACAACGGUAACAUUCUUGGCUACAACAUUUAAAACAGAAAAUGGCAACUUUAUUUGAGUAAACUGAGUUAUCUUCAUGCAAGAACAUGAUAAUGCAUGAUUUGAUGAUUUGAUCAAUCUGGUUUUUCUUUUUUGUUAUAAAAAAAAACUCUACUUUUCUUCUCACGACUUAAAGUUCCGCAGGCAUGGUUAAUCUAAAAUUUAGCUUGCUAUACAAUUCAAAAUCAUCGAGUACCAGAAACAAAAGUUAAUCCUUCAAUACUAAUUUUGAACUCAGAGAUCUGUACAUCUUCAAUAAUGUGAUCGGCUACUUAUCCAAAACUGGAGGAAAAUCAACAACCAAGACAAAUGCCAAAAAUAACAGCUCCAGGCUUAUGCUAAAGCAAAAUGUUUUUCAGUUUAUAAUCUGCAUUGUUUUGUUCAAUUAAGCACAGAAGGUUGUGGAAAAGCAUCAGUGAACAAGUAAACAGGAAUAUAAUAGAAAACUUAUGCACAUACCGCAUCAACUUGUACAGCUUGAUUAUUGUGCACUGAUGUACCAGACACUCGAAUAAGUGCAAUACCAUCAGAAGUGUAAGUAUCAUCAUUUCCAUUCUUCUCAGAAAUUAACUUUUUGUAUCCAGAACUGAUUCCGCCCUAUAAUAAAAGAAGCCAAGAUUAGGAAAGAUCAAGGUUUAAAGUACCAAUACCUAUAUUGGUAUCAUACUGGAACAGUAUGAACCAGUACAAUACGGUAUGGUACUAACACACAGCAUGCCUCUUUGUGUCAGGACAGCAAAAUGGUGGUGAAACACCAUUUGUCAGCACAUUACUAGUAUGAUCCUGUACUGGGUACCACUACCGUACCAAUAUGACCCAAUACAGCUGGUACCAACCAGUGCAUAUCAAUAUCUAGAUCCUUGAGACAGUUAAUCAACACUCUCUCGUCUCUCGUCAAUAUCAGUAUGCAUUUUAUAAGUUUGUUUUAUUAAUCCUGUGAUUGUCAAGUCAACAAAUAGUACCUUCAAGAUAACCAUAGGUUGAAAAAGUGCAAUAAAUUGGGGUGGUUCUUUCCCUUGAACAAUGCGACCCUGCAAGAUAUCUUCUAUGAUAAGUAGUAAUUCUACCCUAAGAAAACAACAUUGCUUUGCUUCAAAUGAUAAGAGAACACAAUACCUGAACAGGUCGCCCUUUCAAAGAGUUGCACAUUGUAUUAGCUAACCGAUUGGCCAUCACCCGAUCAUCCUGAAGUAAUAUUCAGAGAUUAUGAAGAAUGAAAAACUUUUUAAAAAUUGAAAAAGAGUUAUUAGCCUCAAACUUUCGAUAUUCUCGUGAUCUUCAAUACAAGUUACAUAGCAUAAGAUAAGGAUCAAUGAAUGAACAGAAAGAUGAAGAAUAUGAUAUGAAAAGUUUUUGUUUAAAAUAAGUCGAUAGAUGUUUUCUGCAAACAUGACACAUUUAAUGUCAACAAGAAAAUUCCAGAUUGAUUAAUGAAUAACAUGACAAAUAAUAUACUUGCUAAAAUAUGGACACAUAGCAACCUGUAUAGAUAUACAGGUAGCCCUUUCAAGGAGUUGCAAAUUGUAUUAGCUAAGUGAUUGGCCAUCACCCAAUCAUCCUGAAGUAAUAUUCAGUGACUACAAAAAGUGAAACACUUUUAAAAUAUUUGAGAAAGAGUUAUUAGUUUCAAUAUCCUCAAGAUCUUAAAAGCAGGUUCAAUAGCAUAAGAUAAGGAUCAAAAAAUGAUCAAAAAGAUGAAGAAUAUGACAAAAAAAGUUUUUGUUUAAGACAGGUCGAUAGAUGUUUUUUAUAAAUGUGAAACAUUUAAUGGUAACAAGAAAAUUAUAGAUAGAUUAAUGGAUACAUGGCAAAUAAUAUACUUGCCAAAUAUGGAUACAUGUAUAGGAUACAAAAUAUAUAAUAGUAUGUAUACAAAAAGACAAAAUGGCCAUAACAAUAACCAUCAAGUCUUGUCCCAGUUAUCUAGGUCUGCUUCAUAGAUCCUUGACCAACCAUACCUAUGCACUACUACCUUCAGUGUUACUCCACCUGUCAUCCAUUGUCUUGAAUCUUCCCCUGCUUGUCCUAACCCUUCAAUACACAUUGGCAUGUUCCCUUCACCAAGGCCUCUUCCUCAAAUAGGUGCAACUUUUAUGCCUCUCCCUCUAGUGAAGUCAUUCCUCAUUUUAUCCCUCCUAAUUUUACAAUACAUCCAUCUCGACAUUCAAAUCUCUGCCACAACCACCUUGCUCACUUGGGUCAUCUUUAUUGCCAACAAGCCGAACCAUACACAAUUGCAAGCCAUUGUUGUCUAAUAAAUUUUCCAUAUUUCAAUGGAGUUGUCAAGGCAUCAACCAAUCAAUGUAGACCUGCAAACACUCUCUGCUUCAUUCACCAAAAGGCAAGUUUUAAAACUUGGUUUUGGUUCAGUUUUGAUCCCCUAGGUAGAGUUUUGGUUUCAGAAAUUUUACUCAUUUCAGAGUUUCGGUCAAAGAAAGUGAUCCUGGUGCGGGCACCAGUACCAGACCACCUAUCACUUGGGUCUACAGUCGCCGCAGGAGGAUGGUCCAGCCAUUUUUAUUGUGGUUAGAGUGAUUUUGUUUCAUUUUGAUGGCCUUUGGGCUUAGUUAUGUAUUUUUAUCUUUGAGGGCCUUUGUGAGAUUGGCUUCUUGGUAGGAAAUUUUUUGUAUUUUGGGUCUUGUAUAUAUGUUGGACCCAUAGUAUGCUGAACCGGCCCGUAUCGGCCUGUUCAGCACGUACUGUAUUGGUCUGGCCCUGAUCGGUACAAUUUAGCUAUGGAAAACGGUAUACGGCCCGUACCAAUAGAACCCAACCAGAGCCGAAGAAGAAGAGGAAAGAGUGAGCGGGGGAGGGAGGGAGAAGGAGAGGCCUCCGCCACCAUCGGAGGGCUGGCGAAGGCUGCAACGGGGCGACGGAGCCCAUGGGGGUGAGGUAGAGGCUGAGGCCGUGGAAAAAAAAUUGGAAUUUUUAAGUGAAGUCGGCAGGUGAAUCGCCGACUUCACUUAAAAAUUUUAAAUUUUUUUCAGCGGGCUCCGCCACACCCCCGCGGGCUCGGCUGGCCCCCCGCGGCCCUCCGUUGGCGGCGGAGGCCUCUCCUUCUCCCUCCUUCCCCCGCUCACUCUCUCUUUCACCUCGUCUUCUCCGGCUCCGGCUCUCGAUACGGGCCCGGUACCGAAAUGGUACCAAGAACGAUGAACCAGUCUGGUAGGCUACCGGUACGCCUACCGGUACCGGUUCGGAAUACUUGGUUGGACCAUAUGUUUGUAUGGGACAUGCUAUGAAUGAAGAAAUGGUUCUUCCUUUUUGAGCCCUGGUGUGAAGCCAAGAGCAAGAGCUAGGUGUGAAGCCUAAUUCCCUUCCCCCCUCCCCCUUCCUCUUCUUUUUCCUUCUUCUCCCUCUUCCUUGCUGUCCGGCGUCAGAUCCAAAAGUUAAAAUUAAGAACAAGUGUCAAGAGAAGCUAUUGUAAUCAUUGUAGUCACAUAUAACUUCAUAUUUCGUGAUUAUUGCUGAAGGAAGUGCACUAAAAGAUGUUUAGCUAUAUCGACAAAUUGAGUUGCAUCCUGUAUACAUGCUAUCAUGAAUUACAUUUCAGGAUGAAUGAAUAUACAAGAAGCUUAGGAAGGAGAUCUCUGUUUCAGUGCUCUUGUACUCAUCUUUUCAAGCAGCAUAAAGAAAGAACAAAAGGUUCUACAAUAUUUCUCAAGCAGAUCAAGGACCAUAUGUGAAAAAAUGUUUUCACUCCUCCAGGCUAUGGAAUUCUUCAUCAAAUCACUCUUUAGUUUGUUGCUUUACUACAUAACCAAAAUCUAAUAACCUAUUGAAAGCAUAUCUGAGGAAAGGUGAAUAGAUUAUCAAACAUGUGGGUAGUCAAGAAAUUAAGGGCUUACCAUGACAAGAAUAAUAAUCAUUUGACAGGGCAUGAUCAAGAUGCGAGGCCCUCCUAUAUAGAGGUCAUUUUAGAAGCUGCGAUAGACAGAUUUCAAUUUUUAAUAUAUAAGCGAUGCAAAUAGAGAGCCUAUCAUAUUAGGGUUCUAUAGCUAACUCACAGAUCAUCAAGGAUAUUAUUGAUCAUUCUUUGAUUCAAGGAGUCAUCCCAUCUUAAUUGAAAAAGGAAAUCUUAGUUAUUGGCUGAUAUUUACCAUUAAAUUGUGGUUAGAUUAAGUUUGCUUCACAUACAGGGUAUGAAGGUUUAAAGAGGUGGUUCUGGUGGAAGAGAAUUUUGUAGAGAAUAUUAUGACAAAUUACAUAUAAGAUGUUAUUUUGAUUAAGAAAUAAUAUUUAUUUUUGUAUUUUCACAAGGGCCAUUGAUUGGUGCAAUAGUGAAAGACCUGGGAUGGGAAUUGCAAUGGUAGGUUCAAGUCCUAGGGAAGCCACUCUAUGAAAAAUGCCAACUGUUAGGUCUAUCCCAGUCCGCUCCUCCCAGGACCCUGGAUUGCUAGAACCAUAAUUGAGUAGUGGCCUCUUUUUAUAUAUUUUUAUAUUUUAAAAAAGCUAAAAAGUUGAUAGAUCAUUUCUACUAAAUGAGAUUAUCUGAAUCAAGUUUCGCCGCUCAGUAUUGGAACCCUGCCGGCACCAUCUUAUUACAGUAUUGGUAUGCGGUACAAUAUGAGAUGAUGAGACGUAUCGAGUGUCGGUAUGGUACAGUAUGUCCGAUAUGGUACAUUUAGUAUAGUCCAGUACUGAUGGGUACGACGAACCUUGAUUUGAACACUUCAUAGAAUCAUCAUCCUUUAAAUUGUUGAUGGCUUCACAAGCAACAAUCUCAACAUUAAUAAUCUGAAAUGCCAAUAGAUCAGAACUUUGCAAAUGUGUUUUCUCAUCAUAUUUUGCAUAUAUUACAAUCUUAGUAACACUAAAAAGCAUGGUUUACUGCACCCGUCAAUACUAGUGUGUACCGACCCAUACUAUAUUGUAUCGGUACCGAACCGAUAUGCAGUAUAAGAGACGUACCGAGUGUCAUUACAUCGAACUGGCCUCUGUAUUAGAUAUGCUGACAUAGUAACAAAAUGGAACCAGCAAGGGGUUCAAGACCAAGAUGGCGAACCUUUCUAAAUAGUAUAUCAAUUAUUAGCAUAAAAGCUCAUUCUAAGCACAUAAUUACAUAUGGAAUCAUGUACCUGAACACUGUCCUUUCCCAGCCAACAAGCCAAAAAGUAUUCCUCUUUCUUCUCGCUUGAAUGAUAUGUAUAAAGAACAAUAUAACAGUCUCCACUGUAGAAUUUACCAACCUCUUCCUUAGGAAUUGGGGUCUUGGCACUUCCAUUGAUUCGCCAUACCUGAGAUAAUCAUAAUUAUACUUCUGAAACAAUACUUUUAAUAAAUUAAAACAUAUCCAUUAUAUCCGUUCAAAUGCAGAUCAUAACAUACAACAAAAACUGUUAACAAACCUCAAUUUUUCCAGCCCCUUGAAGCAACGGUGGGACUUCCUCAUUAACAGGAGAACCUUUUGCCAUGCCCUUCACAUCAAUACCCUGUUGCUUUAGCAAAGCUACCAAAACACCAGAGAUUUUCUUAACUCAAGAAAAAUAUUCCAGUUACUGAUAAUCCAAUUUAGCUCAUAUUUGAAGAAUCAACAACUACCUGCUACCUUUCCUCUUCCAUCCUCACCAACAGAUGUUGCCGUUCCCAUACCAAUUGGCCAAGAUUCAAAGUUGGACUUGAAUGAAUGUGUUUCAAAACCUUGUAUGAUUUGAGUUAUGCGUGUCGCCUUUGGCCUAUUUUGGUUAAUGAUAAAUUCCUGAAGAUUUGGGCCGGUAAGUACACUCACUGGAAUGCUCACCAAGAAGUAAAUGAUGUCAGGUCCCUACCUCAGCAGCUUUGCUGGCAGCUUUUCUAUCCUCAACUUGAGUUACCCGACCAACCCAUACAAAUACCUCAGCCCCACAAUCCAGUAAAUAGCAUUUGUCAUUCUCUAGCAUGGCUUUGGAAAGUGCACUUUCUUCUAGCAUCAACUGACCAUCAUUAAUACUGCAUGAAGGGGAAAAAAUUCAUGUCAUCAUGAUGCAUGAAAGUUGAAAGUUGAAACUAAUUUUAUCUUUUCAUAGUAAAGUUAGGACUAGAAUUUAUAUUUAAGUAUUAAGAAAUAACACUAUUAGAGACAUAUAAACAACAAUCUCUGCCAAAUACAGCAUUAUGCAGUUGACGAUUUAAUGCUCCAAAUAUCCAAUCAUGAGCAAUUUUCCUUUUUCUGUCAGCUGACUGGUCCUGGACAACACUGGAGAAUGACUAGGAUGAUUUUGAAAAUUUUGUAGUCUGGGUGUAGGCAUAUGAAAUCAAGUGCACAUUCCCAACCAAUAUUGAAGCUCUAUCCAAUAUUUUCAGUUUUUCAAUGAAAGGGUCAAGAUAAAAGAAGUAGCAUAUCCUAGAAGUUUGCUUCAAAGUUACAUCUAAGAAUUUUUUUUUUUUUAAAAAAAAAAUCAACCUGGACCAUUGACAAAAUGCUUUGGACAGCUGAAUGGUAAUAUUUUAAGAUAUGUAUAUGUAAAUCAUAUGUAAAAUACACGCUGCCACUACAGUUCCUUCUGAAACAAAGACAUUAUUUAUGAUCUACUUUACACUCAUAGACCAACCACUCCAUUUCUAGGAGCCAAGUAACAUUUGCUACGGCACAUUAAUGCAAUCAAAGAAUGUUCAGAAAUGUGCUGAGAAUUAAGUCACACUUUGAGGUAGAUCAUAUUAAAAUAGAUCAAGGGGAAGCCUAUGCAACUCAGUUUCUACAACUCUGAUGUUUAUCUCAGAAUGGUUGCAUGCAUAAUCAGGGCUACAGUGAACAAUAAUACCAUGUUCCAGAUAUAACAGUUUCCUUUUACAUGCAUUACCAUGCAUUUAAAUAGAUACCUAUAAAGCUUGCCAGGAGUAGAUUCCAGAGUAUGGUCAUCCUCAGAAACAGUCUUCUUGCCAAUUGGUGCAAAGCCGCCAAAUAGCACCCAAAAUUCACCUGAAUCAGACUCUGCCUGGAGCUUUCCAUCAUCUGACAUCAUCCGAGUCAAUUUAUUGAUAAAUAAAAAUACACAUACAGGCACACAUGCAAACAUAGAAAGGUUUCCAAAAGGAUGAGUAAUCUCACCAAUAAUUGCGACAUCACAAGUUCCUUCAUGGUAUUUGUCCUUGAGAUGCUGUAUUACUUCUAAAGCUUUAGCUCUUUCUUGAAUAUUAGAAUUAGCACCAUUGAAUUGAUAUAUUUUGUUUUCAGUGUCCAAGAUAAACACAUCAUCAUGGUUUAGUGAAGAGCGAGCAAAUGGAACCUACACAACAAGUCAUGAAUCAUCAUUUCUCCGGACCACACCACUUUCAAAUUCAAUAUUAAAAGUCAUAAAGGUAUAAGCCUCUACCUGCUUCAGUCUAACAACCCUUUUUCCUCUACAAAUAUAGAGACGCGUUUGAAAAGUUUCCUCUUCAGGCUUUUUGAAUCCAGAAGCAACACCCCCCUCUAGUGGAAUAAUGCAUGGUUUGAACAAUGACAAAAACUUGUCAGAUUCAUGACCCUGGAGUUCCCUAUGCUGAACUGCCCGGCUUCCAAGGACUGCAUCAAGUUCAACAGUCUUGAUAGCAGCAGUUCCAGCUUCAUCCUAAUAUGAUUCAUAAGAUAGAUCAGUUAGAAAUUAUGUUGCAAUAAGUUACUGCACAUGAUAUUAAUGAGUUUAAAGAAGCAUACUUGGCUAGUGUCUUUUCCAAGCCAAAAGUGAAUGUCAUAUAGAUAGGCACCUCCUUUUCCAGCAGUUGUCUGCAGUAAAUAAUGCUUCCAUUUAAGUGUAAAAGAACAUAUACAUCAACUUUUAUUUCCCCAAAGGUAUCAAGAGUAGCACAUGGCCAUCUAAAAGAGUUGGCAUAAGAAAUCAGAAACAAUUUUCAUGUUCUGUCAAUACAAAAAAAAAGCAUGCAAACAAACCACAAUGGAAAAUAUGAAGAUUCUUUUCCCUUUUAAAAAUAACACAUUUGUCCAUUGUGAGUUCCAAUGAAUUUAUGAAGGUACAGAAAAACUUAGGCAGUAGUUGGCUGUUGAGAAAGUAAGAAAAGAGAAUGAGGAGAAUAAUUUAUUUCUUUUUCAUUGCUUGGAAAUAUAAAGAUAAAUUAGAAAAGAAAAAUGAGAACAAAAUAAUAGGCUAAAAUUCUCUCCACGAACUUAACUUUUACUCCAUUCUAUGUAAUGAUGAAUAAACUGAAAAAAGGAAAUUGCAUCAUGAAAACACACAGAUCCCCUAACUAUGUUCUCCAUCAUUUUCUCAGUUCUGAUGAAGAAGUGAAAAUCCAAAAUUUCUUUUCUUAUCUUCUCCUUUUCUCUUCCACUGAAGUUUAUUUACCUUUUUUUUCCAUAUUUGCGGGCAGCCAAACAGAGCUUCAAGGAACUCCAUACAAUUCCCUCCAACCAAUGCUACACUUUUGUUUUAUCAGAAAUAACGAUGAUACCCACAGAAAAAGACCAGACAUGAUUAUUUCUGCACUACAAACAAAUUAAACAAAUGCAUAUACAUCAAAGAUCCACCCUCUUCACGAGUUUCAAUUUCAAAAUUCCUCUAGUUCACCAGCUCCUUUAAUCUGUUGCAUCUCUCUACAUGCCCCUAGGCAUUCGACAAUUUAAUGAAGAAAUUCAAGCAUGGAUGGAAUGUGGUUUAUGGAAAAUUGUGCCAAUAAAUAUGUUUUUGAAUUGCUGUUAGCCUUUUGUCACUCCAGUUUAUCAGGGUCCCUGGUUAAGCUAACUGGAGGCAGCAAAUUACUAACUUUACCCUGGUUACUCUCAACCAAGGGCCCCAUUGACUUCCCACACUCCCCCUUCCAUACAAGCAAAACACCCUUUCCCCAUCUAGGGUUUUGUUACCUCCCUUCAUCCCCUGCCUAUGUUAUGGUCAUCGAUGACUUGCCUGCCAAUGGAUAGUGCCACUCAAUCUUGUGGUGACACCCUCAUUCCCAUCAUUUGCAUCAUCUACCAUCGCCUAUACCAUCUACCGCCAUCUCCCUAUUGCUAACACUAUCUUCAAUCGACCUUGAGAGCCACAAGCCAGCAACUGAAAAACUUUGGUUAUGUUAACUUCAACCUUUUCAUGCUUAAUUUUUAUCAAAAAAUUUGAUUUUGUAAACUUGGUUGAUUGGAUCAUUGAUUUGGUUGAGAAGCCCCAUCAGGUGUACAAGAGGGAUGACAAUGACCUAGUGAUUAAUAGGAAGAUUUCACUAAUAGAGGGGCUUUUAGGGACCACCUUAAAGCUCCCCACCCUAAAUGGUCGUGACUUGUCAAUACCUGUGGUAGAGAUGGUGAGCCCAAGCUAUGAGCUAGUGAUAGCAAAGAAGAAAAUGUUGACUUCUAAGCAGCCAUACAGGAAAGGGUGCAUUGAGGCUCACAGCAAUACAAUAGGAGGCAUUUGACACAUUUUGCGAAGUUAACUUGACAAUAGUUGGGAAUAAAAUGUUAUGUAUCAUAUCCUAUCUAUAGCAAAUUCUUUUAUGAAUUCUUUUGACAAUGUAUUUGUUUCUUCUCAAUUCGAUAUGAUCAUUCAUCACAGAAUGUAUUGUUUCUAAUUGUAAAGUGGUGAUAAUUAACCAUCUAAACUACUUACUAAAAAUAUCGGUGGUAUUAUAAUUUGUGGAAUGAAAAUGACUCCACAGUAACUCUGCCUAUGUUUUGUAUGUAGCCAGUCCGAAGCCAAAUAAAGGAGGGUUGCAGUUGGUGGAUGACAGGCAUAAAACUAUAGUCACAUCUUGUGAACAUGAAUCCAUAUAAGAAAAACAUUUGGGCAUUCCCUAUUAGCGACACAUUGCAUCAGACUUCAGGUGGAGUGAAAAGUGAGCAAGGGUUAACUAAGACGUCCCUCAUAAGCUAUGCACUACAUUGAUACCCGGAUAAGGUUGGAACUUGGAAGUAAGAUAGGCGAGGAUUCUCACAAUUUAAUGGUAGGUGUCAGUAAAGUUUGUCCAAGAAAGAAAGAUACGAUUAGUAACUUGGAAUAGAGAGUCAUUGAUAAGAAACUUGAUGGAACUAAUAUAUGCAAUGACUAGGAGGAGAGUUAAUAUAGAUUGCCUACAAAAAACUAAGUGGAUAGGAGAAAGUCAAAAGAAGUUGGUAAGAUGAAUUAUAAACAAAAAAUAUAGAAUGCUUUAUAAACAACACAAUACGGGUUAUAAACUACUAGUUAUGUUUUACGAUACAAAAUGCCGGGCGAUUAGAAACAACAGGUGCACAAGAUGAGUGUGGCUAAAAUGAAAAAUAUUGAGAUGGAUAUGCGGUAAGAAAAUAUAUUAUAAGAAAUGAAGUCAUUCGUAAAAAGAUAGAGGUAGCAAAAAUUAAGAAGAUUAACACAUUUUCAUGGCUAAUGGAAAAAUUAAGCAGCUAAAAAUAUGAUUUUUUGAUUACCUGUAAAACAAUGUAAGAGUCCCCUGAGUAGAAUUUCCCAUAAUCAGAUUUCGGCAAAGGAACAGGCUGGAAGUUCUCAAUCCGCCAGAUCUCUAUCCCCCUAUGUUAAAGUUAAGAAAUUGCGUAGGAUAUUCAACAGCACGACCAGUUUAAAUGCUUUACCAUCACAAUAGCUAGACCCUUUUCAUGGAAAAAAAAAUAGAAAACUGGAGGAAAAAACGUAAGGGCGUUAAAUAAAAUUUAACAAGAGGAUACACUUUUUGGCCAACUCCCUGAAAUGCAGGAUCAAGAUUUUUUGUAGAUCCAGCCAUAACGUAGUAACUUUCACUAAUCCUUCUCAAAAAUCCAAUAGUAGAGAAGCUGCCUUCAAAGAUAAAGUGGUGCUAGUAACAUCAACAAUUUACCAAAAUACCAGCCACUGCAAGAAAAAAGAGACAUUAAGGAUAUAUAAUUGGAGCAUGUAGCCUAGUACACUGUAAUCUGGUUUUAUCAAUCUAGCACUGCAAUCCCUCAAUAGCAUAUAAUUACAACUAGCAGACAUGUUAUUUCUGAGAAAUUAGAAUGUGAGGUACCUUGUUAAAAUAACAUUAACUAAAGCCGAAGCGAAAAGCUAAAUUAAGACUUGAUGCUCCUCUUCUAUCUUAUUUUCAUAUGUUAUACUUGAGUAGAGAGAUCAAGCAUGUCUCAGUGUCAAUCUACAUUGUAUUUUGCCAAAUGUAGAUCUACCUCAUCAUAUAAUUAGUGUAAACAGGUGUUCAUCAGCACUGAUUCAAAUGUUUCCCAUAUGGAUGUAAAAGAUACAAUGAUAGACUAUGAUGCAGGCUGAUACCGGUGGGCAACAUGAUAGACAAACCCUUUUAUGUUUACGUGUUAUUUAAGUCAGUUCAGUUCUAAAUUUUUUCCCUGAUCAAUGCCUUCAAUACUUCAACAACUUCUGAUCUUUGAUUAAAAAAAAAAUUGUCUAGUCCAAUAUAAUGCUAUAUUAGCUUGUGCCUUGACUUCUUUCCAUUGGUAGGCACACAUGUUCAGAAACUAUUUUAUCCAUGAUUUGCAUGAAAUUUGGUACGGUCGAUUAUCCUCAGAUUCUGGUAGGGUUUACAAUCCUAAAUUUACAUGGAUAGAUUAAAUCUCAUCUGUAAGUGUAGAAAAUGCAUUUAAUGCCUACUAAAACCGAUAAAAACAGACUACUGAGACGGGGAAAUGUUUUCUGUAGCUCACACUUAUCAUUCUAAUUAUGUAUUUACUGACAUGAUGGUGCAAUUUAUGCUGUAAUUUUCAUAAACACCAGCCUCUGACCAGCCCAGGCAAAGUCCUUGUUCAUAGGCAAAUGUGUAGAAAUAAAAUGAAUCAAGUAAUUAAAGAAAAAAUACAUUAAUGUGAUCAAUGUUAUGCAGGAUAUAAACUCAUGGUAGAAUAUAAAUUUGGCUAGCAUUCAACCUGAAUGCCUGUUAAGAGUAUGAUGGAUGAAAAAGAGACUCACAAACACUGCUUGCCCAAUUGACUCCUCUAAAAUAAUAGGUUCCUUGGAGAGGAAUGACAAAACUACAAACAAAAUUGGAUUUCUAAAAUGGCACAACAUGUGCAUAGAGUGUUAUUGAUACUGGCUGGAUAUUGGCACAAGGUCACAGAUUUUCUGAACACUUAAAAGAAGUAGGAUCUGCUGACACAGUAAGCUAUAUUUUAGAUGUGUUAUACAUAUGCAUAUGCACAUUAUUGAUUUAAUAUCAGUAAAGGAAGAGAAUUAAUUAAGGACCAUACAUUUCUUGUGGUAGAGUAACAACUAAAGGAAAAAAACAUAUGAACGACAGUCAUUCAUCACGAAAAAUGUAGCAUACUUACCCCCUCUCCCCUAAAAAAAGGGUCCUAUCCACACAGACACUAAGGGCGGGUUUGGUGUUGCUUUUGCUUUAUAAGAAGAGAAUGAAAAGACAGAAGCUAGGUUUUCUAUCUUCUUCUAGAGUGCUUUUUCUGUUUGACUUUUCUUCUUCCAGAAGAACUUAUCGUAUAUACUAACAAACAUAUUUUUCCCAGAUGUGCUUUUUUGCUUUAAAAGUUGUAAAAGUACUAUUUUAAGCAAUGCCAAACAUGUCCCAAGUCAAGGACUUUACACCCUGAUAUUAUGUUCGGUCUACAUGCUUUAGUAAUCUAGUAGACUAGCCUAGCUUACAAUGCAGUCUAGCAUAGCCUGAAUUUCCAAAUAGCAAAUUGCUGUUCUUCAAUUAUUUGAAAAUGGAACAACAGAAACGUUACUAAUCUGAUGUUGUAGCUCAUGCUUCCAAAAUUAAUCUUUGAAAUGACUUAAAAUCAUGGAACAUAACUCGGAGCAAUUUCAUUUAUAAUCUAAUCAACUGCAGAAAAAAGGAUAAUGCAUUCUAAUGUACAACGAGUUCUUCAAACUUGGUACAAGAAUGCAAUUUGAUGAAUUAAAUGAUAUAAUAGAAGCAAGGAAUUAUGCAGUACUUAGGCAUGCAAAACACGAUGAUAUGAUCAAUAUGUGCAUGUCGAAAUGCCAGAAAUGACUUAUCAGACUGCCCUAAAGAUUAUUCAGGAGCUUAACAGAAACACUGUGCACUAGGCUUUCUGGAAACUGCUGACUACAUAGGGAUCCUAAAUUAAAGAAUGAAACAUGCACAUGAAGUACAUCCUAAUGGAACAGGUCAUGUAUGAGUUAAAAGAUGGUUUCUCUCAUAAGAGGUGGAUGAAGGUAAUUUAAAAAUGGGGGAUCUUAUAUACCACCUAUGGAUGAUGGAGAUAAUUUAAUAACACGAUGAUAUUUUGUGACUUUUAAAGGCUCACAAGGAAAAGUAAACUACCACAGAAUGGGCAAGUAAUUUCUUCAACACCACAUAUAUACCCUGAUCUCGAAAUCCAGACUAUAAAAGUGAAAGUACUAGAGAGAGUGAGAAAGCAUAGCUUCCUCUUGUGCCAAUAUAAUGUAUUAAUAGCAUAUCAGAUUUUCAUAACAUAAUUCUUCUAUGCCAUCCUUAAAAGUUGUAGAAAAAUAUAAUAAUGCAAUGAUCACUCUUUAGAAUUUUCAAAUCCUCAACACAUCAGAUAUCCAUCUCCCAAAACUGUCUGUUGGAUCGAAGAGAUAGAACCCAAUCUAUCGAAGAUAAAGCAGAGAAGAAACUCUCCCAAGAAGAGAACCGGAUCGCGUAUUUUAAUUCUCCACACCCUUCCUUGAAGAAUCCAAUAAAAGAACCACGUAUCUCAAGUCCAAGAUGCCGCCUUUUUCUGAAUCCAAAUCAAAUUUCUACCACUAAUUCGCAUCAUAUGUAGCAUAAUUCAGUCGGGAUCAUCAAACAAAACCAAUAAUCUACACAAAAUUCCAAAAACCCACAGCAGAUCCAAACAGUAAAUAUGGCGAAGAAAUUAAAGAAGAUAAAACAUCCAAUUCUACAUCUAAUCAACAUAAAAUUAAAUCAAACAAACACUUCGAUUAGCCGAAAGCAGGAAUCGAAGGAUUUAAUACCCAAAUUAGAAUUAUCACAUGCAACAACAUCUGGGAUCUGAAAGAGAAAGAAUACACAGUAUCUGAUCCAGAAGAGAUACGACGAUUGGGCACGAGAAUUAAUUGAUUUAUGGAAAAAUCGAAAAAGGACCAGUAGAUGGAAUUGAUGGAGAAUUUUAUGAUAAGGUGAUCAGUACCUAAGAAGAAGCGACGUCGGAGAUUGAUGGAUGCGGAAGAAAGGCGGUGUGAAUGGGAGAAGGAAAGGGGGAACAGAGAGAGAGAAUGGUGGCAAAAGGGGCGAUACUUAAAGCGAAAUGAUGAUUGCUUUGUUUCGCCCCGCCUUCCGUCCUUCCAUUUUUUCGCCUUUCCAUAAUUUCUUUUUUUCUUAAGAUUUUACUAUAACGGCUCCAACAAAAGAAAAAGAAAGAAAAAAAAAACGAAAAAUAAGAGUAAAAAAAAAAAAAAAGAAGGAGUCGAGAAGGGAGGAAAAGAUCCGGUCAGCGUCGGACCCACACAGACCGACCGUUGGAUUAGACUCCUCGGGAAGGACGUGAUCGGGGAAUUGGCUCAUGGUUUAAAAGUAACUGCCGUUAUAACGGCUUCUGAAAGGGGCCCGUUUUUUCCUUUCCAUUUUUUUUCCUCCUUAUGAUUGUUCCAAAGGAGCCUUUUUAUAUCCUACUUCUUUGAGUCUUUUUACAACUUCUUUUAGAGUCAGACAAGGCAGUGUAUAUACAUUGCAUGGAUAGCAAGGCUGCAAAAAGCUCGCAAGAAAAGCUGAGCAUAUGAGAAAUUUUUUUUUCUUUAAUGGCCAAAAAUUGAUUUUUUGCAAUGGCCAAAGGUGUUUUCGAUCUUAGAUGAAGGCCAUGUAAAGCUGAUCUAAAAAAAAAUUCUUGUUAUCUACGGUAAGUAGUAAGAUAAUAAUAAAUAUUAACUACCAUAUGAUCAUUUUUCCUAAAACACCAAUCAUUGUAUAAUAAGAAUAAUAAUGUGUAUGAUUUUUUAAUAGUUGCAAUAUUUAUCAAAUAAAACAAUAGUAUAAAUAUGUAUUUUCCUGCCAGCUAAAAUGUUUUUUGUCAAUAAUUAUAGAAAUAUAUUUUUGGUUGAUAAUGACUUGCACAAGUAAUAGCAUUAUGUGUUUAUAAUUGUUCUUUAUUUCUCACAAUAUGAAAUGAUAACAAUCGUCAUCAUUAUUAUCAUUUAAAUAAAAACAAUUUCAAUGUUGAUAAUUUGGAUAUAUCAUGGAUUGUUUUUAUAGUCAUUAUUGUAAACUAGGCAAGCCAUGGGCAUCACAUUCCUUCCUUAAUUUGAAAAGGAUUCUCUAUUUUUGUUUAAGUUUUUAAUGGUUAAUCAACUUCUCUUAUAGAUUAUAAUUACUACCAUGAAUCAAACAAAUCUAAGGCUAGCAAAUAACGACCUGACCCAUCAAUCGGACCCAUUUAUGACUUGCCAUAAAUGGGUUUACUUUUGGGCUAAAUAGGUUCACAUCGUAAAUAAGUCGACCUAUUUUGACCUGCUUAUUAAACAAGCCAGAUUCAGGUUCCAAGAUGAUAACUCGUUUAUUUUACCUAUCUAAAUUAUGUAAUGGACUGAAUUGGUACCCAGCCGGAAUCCAAUUUCUUUGAUCCUGACCUGCUUAUAGCCUCAUAUUUAAGUUAGAACUUGGUUUUUGGAGAGUUAUUUCAAGUUCCAUCUUCAGUUUCGAGGGUUAGGAGCAAGAAGAGCAUCUUCUGGCCCUCCCCAGCUCUCCAUCGCUAUGUGGUGCUGUCCAGCUCUUCCCUGCUUAAAAAUGCUAGCUCGUCCCCAUCUUUUUGCUCCAAGCCCCUCCUCAUUCUCUAACCCUAUACCCAAACCCUAGAGUCCAAGUAUGGUUCUUCUUUAAUACAAAGCAUUGGUUGGUUAGAUCUUUCUAUCUUUAUGCAUUUUCUUUUUCUUUGAGCUGUAAUUGAACUUACAAAUUGUCUAAUUUUUUCUUUACUUAAUGGAAUCUACCGAGUGGCGUUGAUUUUUUUUUUCUUUUCCUAGUUUGUGGGCAUUAUUGUAUCUCUUUUCUUGAUGUACAACACUUGAUUGUUAGCUUUCUAAGUGAAUAUAGGUUAAAUAGAUUAUACAUGUUCAAUGCUCAGACCUGAUAUAUUUAUCAAACAAGUUAAGCAGAUCAGAUUAGAAUACCUAUUUAUUAAACAUGACAUGUUGAAUUUUCAAAUUUUGAUCUUUUAUAAAUAGAUCAGAUUCUAAUCUAAUCCACAUCUGACUUGAUCUAUAUACGACCCAACUCAACAUGAUUGCCAUCUUUAGGCAAAUCCCAAAUGUCAUAUGUCACACUCUUUUUCUCUGAAGAAGGCUCUUUUUGAUUUUUUGAUGGUACAUCUUUAAAUAUUAGCUCCAGAUAACUUGCAUGGAGAAGCUUUCAACACAACCCUGAAAAAACAACAGUUAUUAUAAUUGUCACUGUAACUGGUGGAAAAUGAUUUUAGUACGAAAUCACUAUAAUAUGAAAACGGCAUUGCUAAAACCUUGCGCUUACUCUCGAGCCACCCCCCCCCCCUCCCCUCUUCUAUUACGGUGUGCUAAAGUUAAAAUGGAAAGUUGACUGUUAGGAGUGAACAGCUCUUUGACUUCCAUUAGACGCAUCUAAUUGCACUCUGUUGCUUGUAAACUCAUCCUCUUAUCUAAUAGACUCAUCUUUCUCCUGGUCCAGGAUCUUUUUAAAUGAAAACAAGUAAGACUUUAGUUCAUGAUGAAAAAGACUUUAGUUCUUAUAUAUUGCAUAAACUCUUGAGCAUGUGUAAGAGGGCCGCGGGCAAGUUAUUUUGAUGUUAGAUUGAGAGCAUGAUUUCCAGCAAAAGUUGAUAUGGCUGGCGAGGAGACAUUUGGUCCCUUCAUGAUCGACAUCAAGCUGUUCAUAGUCUUACUUACAAGUUCUUGAAAAGGCGUCGUUUGAUCACGCUUUUAACUUAUCUCUCAAUCUUCCAAGCUUACUUAGCCUGGGAGACCAUUGGAAGUGUGAGACAGGCCCUCAUCCAAUUGCAGAAACCAAGUUUUCCUUCUUCUAAUUCGUCUCAGUGGCUGAUCAUUUACUUCAGAAUAUUUUGUUUAACCUAGAGUUUCAGUAUGCUAACCUCUACAAUAAUGCUGAUCUCCAAUCUUGCACAGUGUCAUAAUAUUUUUCUGUCGGGAUGUAGGUUUUUGCUUGAUACCUGCAUUGCACAUGUAGAACUCUAGAACAACUCUAGGCUAAAGGCAUCCCUAAGAAUAUUUAUUCCAUAAGAAUAGUUAAUCUGCAAAUUAUUCAUACUUCUGUUUGAUUACAAUUUCUAGAACAACUCUUGGCUAAAGGCAUCCUUUUUCCAUCAAGAAAAAACGAGACAGCAAUUAAAAGGGGUCCUAUUCUUAUAUAUAUAUAUAUAUAUGUUAUUCCAAGUAUCCAUUAAGAUAUUCAUUUCAUAAAUAAAUAUUCUAAGUUUUUUCGUCUGAUAGAAUGAAUAAAGCUUCAAUUUCAAGUCUUAUUCCUGCUUGAUGGAACUAAACACAGCCUUGCUGUCUAUGAUUGAAGUGCUAAAUUUAUCCUACUUCUAAGAAACAUAGGAUAGUAAGAGAGCAGCUAAAUCUAAUCUUUUUGUUCUUAAAAGUCUGAAGCAAGGAGUACAAUGCCCGUUGGGAAGAAGAGACAUCACGCUCGGAGGCUGGCCACCUUACAUGAAGAACAUACUGGCACCAACUUUAUGGGCGAGUGAUCCCUCUGAUUGGCACUCACAAUAUGGAGCUCAAAACAUGCCAUGUGACCAGAUGCCACAUGUAAGAAUGGUCUUGUGAUGUCUCAUGUCCAUGGCCCCAGUGCCUAAUAUGAUAAAAAAAAACAAAGUCAUGUCAAUAUCAUGACUUCGUCCAGAAAACAUGGAGAUGUAGGGCUCAACUGCAAACUGAUGAUGCUGACUUAUAGAGCAAUGUCUAUUUUUCAUAGACAAACUCAAGAGUUGAUAACUGAAGGAUAGAGAAGAAUUGUAGAGUAUCAUCAGAGAUUGGGGGAAGGGAAGACUCUUUAAUUUUCAUUUCCAUUUUCUUUAACACCAAAAGAAAAACAAACAACAAACAGAAAACAACAUAAUUAUGAUGUUCAUAAAAAAUAUUACGAUCAUUAUAGGAUAGUGAUAGUAAUGGCAAUAGUACCAAUAACAAUAACAACUAAUAAUGAUGACAAGGAUACGACGAAAGAGAGAGAGGGAGGGAGGGAACAAAACCAAGUCAAAAGUCUCAAGUUUUCACUUGUUGAUAAAAAAAUAAGUCAAACACAUCAAAAUAAACUCAAGCAUAUAAUAACUCAGUAGAAAAGAAACCAAAAUUAAUAUUCAGUACAAAACCUGUUCAUUUUAAAUGGAAAAAUUCAAAUUAAUGUUAUUGAUUUUAUUUUCCAUAAGACCACCUCGACAUCCAUUUGGCUUUCCAAGCAACUACAUUCAGCCAUUCGAGCCAUUUUCAUUAUUUGCACUAAAUAAUGCAUAUAAGCAUAGUUUAUCCAAAGAUGUCAGACAGCUCAUACACAACAUUCAGCCAGCAAUCAUCUACCUCACUACAUGUAUAACUCAACAUACUGUCAUGAGAGAAAACCUUUUGGAUUUUAUUAGAAAGGACAUCAUCUUUCAUUUAUUUUAAUACAAAAUACACAACCUAGUUUCACGUCCCUCCAGAAUUCAUCCUUCCAGCUUGUUCAGAUUCAGCAUGCACAUAUUCAUCCCUAAACACCACCAUGCCAUCAAAAAGCAUUAAAGAAAAGGAAAAGAUAAAGGAGUCACAAAAUUUGAAUGAAGAAAAGUCACAGGUAGGACAUCACCGCCAGGUUAUCCUUUAGUAUACAGGUGAUGAUGCCAGGCUUGUCUUGACACUCAAGAAAAUGAUGAUAUUAUACCAGAUCAAAACCAAGGAUAGUGUCCUUGGCCAAGAUCAGGAGCAACUGGAAAUAUAUCAAAACCCACUUUCGGGUUACCUCUUGGUGAACAUAAUCCAGAAAAAUGUCCUUGAAAAACCCAUAUAACUGCCAGUAUAUUGAGAAAAUCAGUAAGGAAGUAGUCACUGUAGAUUUUGACACGAGAAGCAGCGCUGGUAUGAGAGUGUAGGUUAUUUUUUGGGAAAGCUCCAUUCUCUUAAUCUUCGAGCUUUCAUUCCCCAAUCCACUUUUUCGUUCUUUUAAAUGACUCCCCUCCAAAUUCCAAUGGGCUAAAAGCAAUAAUCUUCGAGCAAUCUCCUUCCUUUCCAUUACAUGUGGUCUGCAAAAGCUUUUCAUAAAACAUUGUUCUGACCAAAUCAAUAAAAACUUGAAGAUAAAAGCCAAAGUCAGAAACUGAAAUUCAGUAUCAAUCAAAACUACAAAUGAGGGGCUGGUGGAAUUGCCUACAUUCUUUUCAGCUGAAUUACAAAGCUGAGAAAUGAUCUUGUUGGACAGAUGUGUCACAGUUCCACCAUGUGCCAUCCCAGAAAACCAACGAGGCAAUCCUUGUGUACCAGCAUGAACCAAUUUGAUCGGGUGGCUCUUGGGGAUUUGUUCAUACACCCAAAUCUGCAUAUAGAGUGAACUCCAUGAAACACUGAUGCACAAAACAAAAAAAAGUAAUGGAAGUGAAAUUUAAUUGAGCAAAAUUAUUGCCUCCAGGGUAACAUCAAAGGCACAUUUAUCAAUGUCAUUCGAAGCUUGCCCCUAUCUUAUCAACUUUAUGGACAUAAUUGUGGAGGGUGGUGCAUCUUUUACUCGGACACUUUGCUAGACGAUGAUCUGGCAGACUCCCUCAGAAAGGUUGACGAAAACCAGUCUUUAUACAAAAAAUAUCUUAGCUUUUGCAUCUUUCUGACCCACUUGAUUUAAGGCUCUUAUCUUCCACUCAUUCUUUUCCAACAAUAUAACAUUAAAAAGAUACUGGUUCUAUAAGAUGAGGUUGUUGAUAUAAGCAUUUGAAUUGUUGACUUCAAGGGCAUUAUAACUUUUAUUGCAGUGGCAAUUACAAAACUUUCAUAAGACAGAACAACAAAUAACAGAAGUUAAAUUUAACUGAGCUAACUGUGCCGAGAGUAGUAUCAUAGGCAGACCUAUUACAUGAUUUUAGCAGCCAGGCUCUAUCUUUCUUAAGCUUCAGGACAUAAUUAUGAAGGGUGGUAUAUCUUUCAACUCACACACUUUGGUGAGGCAAUAAUUUGGCAAACUUAUAGGGGAACCUUCUUUUUGGUAGGGAGGAAAAACUUAGCUUUCUCAUCUCUUCGGCCCGCUCGAGUUAUGGCAAUUAUCUUCCUCUCAUUCUUUUUCCCACAAUAUAUCACAAAAAAGUCAAUCGUUCCUGCAGAUGAAAUUGUUGAUUUAACAUUUAAUUAGUUGACUUCAACUGCAUUGUGACUGUUGUUGGAGCAGCAUUUAUGCUGCCAUUUUGCAGGAAGUUUAGAAAGAAACGGAGGACAUGUGUUUUUCCACAAUGUUAUUUCAAGUUCAUGGCCUAUCAAGAUGAAUCAAAGCCUCAUGGCAAUGCACCUGAGCAUGUAUAAGACGAAACUGUUGGAUUUUCACAUCAUUGGGCAUAUGCAUGCACAGGCAUGUUCACUUCUUGCAAACAAGAUAUACAAAUUUAGCAUUUAUUUAGGAGGUAUUAGCAGAUAUAACAAAUUUUGCUACAAAAUUUACAAGAUAACUCGUCUUUUUCCACAAUUGUCAUAAUAUUUCUUAUAUUUUCUGAUUUUCCCUUAUUUUUAUUGUGAAAACUAAGUUUCCAGUGUUGACCUAUUCUUUGUUGAAACUUGUUUGAAUAGAACAUAAAGAUAUGUUUAGCCAAAGGAUUGGCCAAGACAUCCUAGCAAAUUGAUGUUAAAAAUUGAGAAAGAGAUAGGAAGUAAGAAGCAUAGGAUUGCACAUUAUAGAAGAAAAAAGUAAACAGAAAGUGGGAAAAUGAGAAGCGAAGGCCUCAACUGUACAAAAUGAAGCAACAAAAUGAAAAUGUAGAGAAGAGAACAUGAAUGUGAACAAAUGAAAUAAAUGAACAAGAAACAAAGAAGAAUAUGAACAUGAAUUAUAAAGGGGAUGGAAAAGAAGAUGGGAAAGAAAAAGAGAAACUGCUGGUUAUCAUUGCAGCUGCCAACAAAUAGAAAGCAAGAAAGGAAAAGAGAAGACACAGGUGAAACAAAAGGCAGACUGCCAGUGUUGGCUGCUAGAGUUUUUGACGGAAAACAAAAAGAGAAUCAUAAUUAACCGGGAAAGGAAGACUGGGAGAGAGCACUGCUACUGGCAGUUCCAGCAGUUGCCAUAACAGAAAAGGACAAGAACAGGAACGAGGAGAGAAAAGACAAGAAAUUAUAAGAAAGAAAGGGGGAAAAGAAAAAGAGACAUUGCCAAUAGAAACAAGGAAGGUGAAGUUUGUGUUCAAGUGUGUGCAUGAGAGAGAGAGGGGGGGAGGGCAAGGGAAAGAAGAAGACUCAGUUGGAUACUCUUCUAAAAUCUAAUAUUUUCUUAACUCCUAGAAAUUACCAUUCAUUUGGGUGGGACAUCGAUCUUGACACGACUACUGUCCAGAUUAUUUGAUCAAUAUGUCUUUACAAGCAUUACAUUGUUUCUAGUUGCCCAUACAAAACAUGCUAGCUGUCCCUGACCAGACUCAAGCUCAGGUUUAACAAAUCUCCAAAAGCCAUUAGAACAACUCAAGAACUCUAUAGAAAUUAAAAUUAUUCCUAUACAAACAAAGUAUGCAGAAAAGGCAACUCUCUAGCUCUAGAACGCCAAGUGUCAGGAUCCUAGAACUUAAAGCAACUCAGCCCCAUAGUAAUGAUUCAGUCCUCUAUAAGAAAACUAGACACCAAAGAACAAUAGGAGAGUAAACUCAGUAUUGUAAGACUGCAGGACAACAAAUGAAGGUUUGCGAGGAAUUAGGACAGCAAACACAUGCUUUUAAAGAAACUAGGAGGGAAAUGUUGACAAUUAAAGGCAAAUCAAAAAAUUCAGUACAACAUUGAAACAUAUGACGUAGAGCAAUAUCUGAUCAUAAGGUCAACUCAUGCGGACUUUAUUUUUCUUUCGGCAAUAAAAAUCAUGAAUAUAGUUACAAACAGCAAGCAAACCCGUAUUACAAUAUGACUAAGAGAUAACUGGUACUAUAUUAGUAAAGUACAACUGCUGUACAGGUUUUUACAACUAAUAAUUGAAGUAAUGCAUGCGCCUAGGAUGCUUGUAAUAUGUCAGAAAUGUUUAUCCAAAUGCAUAUAAGAGUUCCAAUGAGGUUUGCAAGAACAUAAAAGGCCCAUCCAACUGCCAGAAGGCAUGUCAAAAUGACUAAGAUUCUUGUACAGCUUUUCAGGAGAUCUAUUAAGCAUCCGGCCAAGGUAUCAAGAAUUCCAUUAUCCCGUUAUAACAACCCCCCAGGGAAACCAUUAUUGACCACUAUAGAAAUAAUGAUGAUAAUGAGAAUAACAGCAAAAAUUACAAUGAUAAUUUUCGUUACAAUUAUUAUAAUGAUGAUAAGUGAUAAUGAUAUCAGCAACAACAACAACUUAACAAUGAUACUUGACAAAAUAACAGUUUGCCGAUCAUAAUAAUAUAUUUUUUCGGCUUAUGCAUCCAUAUGCCAAAGUAUGGACGCGUUGUGAUAAUUUAAUUUUCAAAACAGGGAAAAGAUUAGGUAACAUGGAAUCAGCAGAUUCUUGUGCAAUAAGUUAACAACAUUGUAGAAAGAUCAUCAAACUGAUGCUUUCAAGACUAUUUUCUCAGGCAUUUCCUAAGCAGCAGCAUCAGCCAAUCAAAAAUUUAAAGCGAGAGUCUUUUUUUCCCUUUUAAUCUUUCUCCUUUCCACUUCUCAAACCCUAAAGUUUUCAACUUUUACAUCAGGAAUUAAACAGAAACAACUAAAGCACACAGCAGAUCAAAAACCACCAAGUCCGAAGCCCAUAGAGGAGAAGAGGCGAACGACGAGGACAGAGGAGAAGGCGAACCUUUCUGGAGCCAACGAGGGCGUUGUGCGGUAGAGAGCCGGCCGAAUCCAGCACGGGUACAGCGGAUCUGGAAUCGUGCAGCGGGUGGAGGAGUGGCGGGGAGGCGAGUGUAGAACUCGGAGGCAUAGGGAGGAGGAGGAGGGAAUGGCAGUGUCAAUCAGGAAGAAGGAGGGGUGGAAGAGGCGGGCUAUGCUUAGGGUUUUGGAUCGGGUCAGGAAACGGGCAGCCAUGGCCGUCGCCUCUCUCGGCGUCCACACUAAGGUGGUGGGGUGGGCGACGAUGUCGCGACGGGGACAAAUAGAACGCCUUCAGUUCACGCUUUUUUUUCAUAACGGGCUUCAAGCCAUUUGCUGCUUAACCCGAAGGCCUCAUGGAGUCGGACUAUUUAAAUCUAAACAGGGUCUUCGCAGUAUCUAUGAGCCUCGGAGAGGUGCUUCUGCUUACUCAGAAUAGAUAGGAUACCAAUAUUUACUUUUAUUUUUCAAAAGUUCCAGAAGAAACAGGAGAUUAAAAGAAACAUAAAUUAUAUCUAGCACUAAAGAAUUUAAUAAAUAAUGCAACCGGCUGUGCUAAUGCAAGAGCAAUUUGAGCAGCAGAUUUAUAAAAUAGUAAAUUGAAGAAGUUAUUACAUAAAAAAAAUAAACCAAUUUAACAAAAAUAAAAUCACCAAUAAUCCGAACAUUCCUGGUAUAAAAAAACGGAAAAAAAAUUAUCACUAAGGGAAAUAAGUGGCAAGUUGUAUGUCACGAUGCUUCAUUUUGGAUGAUUGAAGCUAUGUCUCAUUCCUUCCCUGAUUUAUUACAACACCUGGAUGUUUGCCUCUUUCUUUAAUAUUAUUGCACAUGGUUGUACAUGACGUUUUAAAAAUGACUUUAUGUCUCAGAUGGUGUACUUUAUCUGGAAGCCCUUACCUUCCAGUUUUCUCAAGGUUAAUUUCAAUGGACGUGUGCUGAAUGGUGACAGAAGGAAAUGUGCUGGCUUUAUUAUUAGAGGCCCAAAUUCCAGAAUGAUUAUGGCUGGUGGUUGCCAAAUUUUCAAUAUCUCGAUCCUGGAGGUUGAGUUGAGGGCGGCAUGGGCUGAGCUAGGCUAUGUUUGGCGAGUGCUGCAGGCUAGUGCGGUACUAUUUGAGAGAGAUUCAGCCACGAUCAUUGGAUGGGUUCAGUGGACUGUUUGCGGUGCGGGUGAGUGCUAUCUCUUGAUCCUUGAUGUUGGAGCCAUGAUCUAUGGUAGAGGGCCUUCUAGACUAUGCAUGUCUCCAGAGAGACCAAUGGGGCUGUAGACUGAGUGGGCCUUAGGAAGAGUGAGCUGUCUACUGAGAUAUGCUGUAUUUUGACUUUUUUUGAUGUAUCCAUACUAGAAUUGUAUGAAUCAUCCGUUUCAAAUAAAAAAAAAAUUAAUUAGAACUAAUGUUAAUUACAAGCAUCUUACCAUCAAUGAAGUUUGCAGUACUUCUGCAAGGCACUGGAGUAGCUGGGGCGCUUUGAGUCCCCUCUAUCUCCAAGCUGCCCCCACCCCUUGAGUAUUCAAGAUCAAUUUUGAUGGGUUUGUACCUAAUUUCUAUUGCUCAAAUUGGAUUUGCAGGCAGCUAAAUAAUGGCAGGCUUGUACAUGUCAUUUCGAUUCAUUUCUCCUCCUAUUCUUUUGGCAGAGGUUCAGGACAGAUUGGAGGGUUUUGGGCAGUGCAUUCUAUGAUCAUCAUGCCUCACAUAUGGAUUGAGGGUGAUUCGAGCACCAUCAUUUAGUUAGAUCAUCAUUCUUUUGGCAGUCAUAUAAACAAUUCUCUUCUUCAGAUUUUUUGGCUGCCAAGAGUGUCAUUCAGGCAAUUCAGGCUUUUAAACCAUCUCAUAUUUAUGAAGAGAGCAAUCAACUGGCUAACUGGUUGUGUGGUAGCCAAAACAGAUGCCAUCAGUUUCGCAGCUGAAUCCGAUGGUUAUUUUUUCUUUCAAUUUGAGGCUUAGACUGCCACCGUAGCCCAAAGAAGGGGAGAAAAAUCAAGAUCUCCAGAUCAAAGGAUCAAUUAAUGGUCUACCCUUUUUUCUCUUUUGUGAGAAAACAAGAUUCCAAAGAAAGAUGAGUCCGGGUUGUCAAAGCCAGGAUCCAAAGAAAAUUAUAUCAAAAUCUGAGAAGGUCAAAUAAAAUCACAUCCAGAAAACAAAUCAAUAAAAGUAUCAGAUAUAAAAGGUGCUGCUAUGUUUUAGUUUAUUCUAUAUCCCAUAUAUGUACACUUUGCAACCUAUAGUAUCCAAGAGAAGCAUUAAAUGUAUGCUUCUAUUCAAAACGCAGACCAUUUUCUUUAAUUGCCACCCCUAGUUUAUAGGCUUCAUAAUAGCUGCAAGCCAAGAAAAUAAUCUCAUAUUAGAAUUAGAUUCUGAACUAUAAAUCAACUAAUUUUUUAUACUACAAAUUCUUUAGCCAUAUAAUUGCCACCUUUUGUGUCCGGCAGUUACUCAAUUUGACAACCACAUACAUUCUAUGUGUACAGUAUGUUGCAAACAUUAUCGAUUUGAUAACUAAAAACGGAAUAUCUAGUUUUACAUACCAAUAUCUUUGGUAAACUAAGUCAUAAUACUGUUUUUAUUAAGUUUCCUGGAUAUAUGCCAAUGCCGUGGAGUGAAUAAAAACAGAGCAAAUUAACUCCCUUGGCAGCUGCCAUGGAUAUAGAUUUUACUCCACCUACAUAUUUAUGGUAAUAUUAUGCUUAUGUGAGCUUUGUCAUUAUUCUAUAGAUCUAGCAUCACAUAUUAAUAGCCUCCAAAUAAAUAAACAAAAUUAUGAGAUGCUGUACUAUCCCAAACCGUCUGCUACAAAGUGUAUUAUAUCGGAUCGAAACUGGUAUGAAAUACAUAUUCGGGUCGGUACAUACUCUGUAUCGACCCAUAUUGAGGCAUACCAAGGCGUACUGAUACAUACUGAGGCGUGCUGACCCAUACCGAGAUAAAAAGUGAGAAAAAUAGCUAGAGAGCUAUUUGUGUACAUGGAUAUAUAUAUCGUACUAUACUGAUCCAUAUCAUACUAAAUCGGAAACAUACUGCUACGGUACCUGACAUCGAAAUUGCAGUCCUUGAACAAAACAAUCUGGUCAACCUCCAGAUUAUUCAUUGAGCAACCAAAAUCACAAAUAAUUGCUUUAAUAUUGCCUUACAAGUUGUUUUUUCACAUCUUCACCAUCUGCCCAUACUUCUAAAUAAAUAAUUUUAAAUCAAAUGGAAAAUUGAAUGGAAGGAUCUGAAGAAAGUUCUCUUCAUCAGACACCACAAUUCCCCUCAACUUCAUUUUGGAGUCUUUUCAAGAAUUAGUGUAUUCACUGCUGAAAGCUGAUCAACUAGCAUACCACUAUUGGAAUCAAGGGCAAUCCACAAAAUCUACAAUGAUGGACAGUUCAGCAUGGCUAGUCCAAGAGUUUGUGAUUUUAGCUGGUGCAGAUGAUGAGCUCCACUAAUGAAUAGGAAUUGAUGAAGGAAAAGUUCAGGGUGAGAGCACAUGGGAGCAAAUUUUCUCAAUGUUUUAAGUGCUUCAUAUAGCAGAGUCAAAAAAUCAUGUAGAAAAGAUGGAGCUCAGAGGGAGAUGCAUUUCCAUCUUUUAUUUCUAUCAAAUAACUCACAAUUGGCAUUUGCUGACAAUGUUGAUAGGAAAAAUGGGUCAAAGAGGUAGAAAGGCAAAUGAGGAACUGUAAGAAAAAUAAUGUCCCCUCGGUUAUUAUGGAGAAAAGUUGAAGUUAUGGGAUAGGAAAAAAAAGAAAGAAAACAGUGAGGAGAGGUGAUUGCUAUGUUAUUUUCAAAGGUGGGCUAGAGAGAUUCUGAAGUUUGUGCAAGAGUGAGAAGUUGGGUGGGAGAGUCAUGAGGGGUUCAUCACCACUUUUCUUCAGCCAAGCCAACGCCAUCGCAUAUCCUAAAGCUCGACCAACUGGAACAGCGACAGCAUUGCCAAUUUGGCGAUAUCUGCAAGUUCAUUACAUCGACUUCAGAACACAAGAGAAUUUCAAGACAGAUUAACAUUAGAUGGCAUGGGAAGUAAUAACAACCAACUAAUGUCUUUAAUAUCUCAUGAUACAAUUAGAAAAUCAGCAACCCAGUGAUUGAAAAUUUACUAGCGAGCAAACAUGACACAUUGCUCGAGUGAAAUCUGAGCAUAUUUACAUAAGUAGCUUUCUAACAUACUGCCACAUUUCAUAAUGAUGGCAAAGCAUGUAAAAUAACAAAAAGGUGCAAGAAAUGUCAACCACCACAGAUACAAAACAAAAAUUCAACAAAAGAAUGAUCUCUUGGGAGAAAAGCAAAAAAAGAAAAAAAGGUAAUUCCUCUGAAAAACAUUCUACAAAGAGUCCAAUAUUUAAGCAACCUUUGCAAGCCAUAGCCUAUAAAUACAAAUUUAUAAGUAGACAAAACAAAGGGUGCAACAGAGCGUACCUGAGUAUUAAGCUUCUCAGGCUAUCUGUUUAUAUAAAUAGUGUAUUCAAGCUUGAGCCAAGAUUGACAUCAGAUGUGUUUGAUGAUCUCUAAUAGUCUAAUUAUUUAAUAAUUUUCUGAAAUUUGCCUGGAAAUUUCUGACUUAGAGGCAUUUUCGGUUGGUGUUUGCUGUUUGGCAAAACACAGGAUCAAGUUGGAAAAGUUCAAUCAUUGAAGCUUCUUGGGACUCUUUCCCGUUCCUUAUUACCACAAUGAAAGAGUAAAUACAAGACCACUAGCUUUUAUACCCUGUCCAACAAGUGGAGCUUGGUUGGAUUCAUGGACCUUUAGACCAAUCAUCACAUGUGCACUCAGCUCGGCUAGCUCAUCAUGCCGUGCCAUGCACGUGCUCAAACAUGGCAGGACCGCAGGCCAGCUGGUCGGCCAUGAACGUGCAGAAUGUGUCAUGUACUCUCUGGUCAGCUUUCCAAUCUUGCAUUUGAUUUAGAUAAUCACAGAAGUCAAUGGGCCACUAGCCAUUGGAGGCCCUUUAAUUGGUUUCUCCAUGGACUAGCUGUUGGCCACAAUAGCUCUUUUCAGAUAGCAACUGUCCAGCUCUAUAACCGGCAUGUCUCUAGCUAGAUGUUGGAUCUCCUUGACUUCCAGAUGUGGGUUAUUGGAAAAUCAAAUAGUAAAGCAAUAUAUUAACUGUCUGGUUUUAAUGGUCCCAGCACCAGAGUUCCAAGAGAUAACAACGAGAAAGCUAAAAAGUAAGGUGUUGCCUUCCCAUUCCUUUGAGAAGCCUUGCCCUCUUCAAAUCCUUUUAUCCUUCCCUCCACAAUUUCCACACUACUACUCUAAUAUUUGAUCUUUCAAAUUAUUUCGACACUUUUCUCUAGGUGAUUUGAUGGAGUCAUCAGGCCAUCUAUCUCCACAUGCUCACGUUGUGCUUGGAGGCAAUCAAACAUUAUCGAGAUCAGUUGUACCUAGGGAGCAUACCUUUUGAUCACCUGCAUGAGAGGGGUAAUCUUGCUCUUAAGGGAGUGCCUGGCACACCUCCAAUUCAAGCACAUCAAAAAUGUUUUUUCAAAGUUUUAAGAAUUCUCAAUUUUUCAUUUAUUUUUCCAAAUCCAACUUUCUACCACCAACAAGAUGUUCAAGCUUCACUUCUUUCUUAACACAACAAAUUUGUCAUCAAGCUGAGCUGGAGCUUCUAUCCAUUUUUGUUGGUCCAAAUUACUCAGGCUCAGUUUGUUCAUGAGUCUUUACAUGAAAGUUUGGGUGUAGCUGGUUUUGUAAUCUAGCAAACUCAAGUAGAGCUGGUUAUGAAGCUGUGCUUAAGCUAUCUAUGAACACCUGGUUACAUUUUCAGCCCUAAAGCAACCAUUUGAAAGGCAGUCAUGUAAUUAACAAUCAAAUGACAUGAGUGCAGAGGUGAGUAAGCAGCAGCAUCAAUGACAGCAAGGGAUGGCAUUCAACAAAUUUUCCUCGGCAAUACUCAAAAGCGCAUACAUGGUACCACAAACCUCCAGAUAAAUAGUUAGAGAACUUCAUGCAUAUCAUGAUAUGUAACUGUAACCAACCUUAAGCAAGUUUUGUGCAUGUCCUCCAUUCACAGGGGCUCUCUAUUGUUUCAAUUUUAUUGGAUAUCUCUGAAGAGAACAAACAUUAGCAACCUUUGUUUGGAUUUAUAAAAGUUUUCUCUCUACAUCAACCAUGAGAAUUUGUACUGAUCUCCUGGUCAAUGCAUCUUUGGACAAGAGACAGCAUGAUAUGAAACCUAAAAUGUCAAAUUGUGGGAAUGCUUGACCAACAUUCUUGGUGAUCACAGUUUGAACCAAUGCAACCAGGAAGUGACCACCAAGGUUCUCGCAGACAUGUAUGAAGUCUGGAAAAAUGGAGAUUAAAGACAAGAAAGGCUUGUCCAGAAAACUACUUUCCUCUUUAGGGGCACAAAUUUAAGCCAAACGGAAACAUAAUCCCCGUAUUCUAUGGAAAGUAUCCGAUUUAGAUAUAUAGAGCUCAUAGUUUCAGAUAUUUAAAGCUUAUAGUUUAUAUCCAUAAUUCAUGAACAAGCCUUCUCUAUGAGUCAGUUUUACAAAUCUUUCUUAUCCACCAAUGCUCUCUAGCAUUUGAAAGCAUGGUUGCAUAAGAAUGCAAUUUUAUCACAACAACAAUACAGAAUCUACAUCGCUAACCUUGCCUGUUCAUGUUGCAUCUCCACCUCCCUCACUAGCCCCAUGUAUUGCACACAGACCAAUCCCCUAUUCUCUAUGAUGAAUGAUUGUAGGAAUUGAUAUGUAGCCUCCCGCUUUCUCAUAUUCACUCAUAUUUUAAAAAAGAAAUUAAUGCAAGGGAAUACAUGAAAAAAGAAAGCAAGCGCAUGCUAAUUAGAUUCAGAUAAAAGCCUCAUUUGCAAUUUCAACAUGCCCAAAUUUUAUCAAAAUAUAAAAGGCUAAAGUGCAUAGGUUGGCUUUUACACCACUCACUUGCCGCAGUUGAGUGGCAAGUCUCCUAUCCACAUGCUAGUUGGAAUUAAUAAAAUGCACACCCAUUUUGUGAGCAAUACUCCUAUUUCUCUUUCACGUUUUAUCUAAUUUCACAUAUUAUUGCUCUAAGUUUAGUUAUGCAUAUGUUAAAUGAAACAUCAUGUGAUUUGCAGGUGCAUGUCUACAAAGAAUGUUCCAAUAUCCAAAGUGAACCUAAUGCCCGCAGGCCCUGCACUACCAUAUUUUAUAUGAUGAACUUCCUUUUUUUGCAUUUUCUCAAGCUUUAGAGAGAGUAGGAUAUGUAUCUGAUUAAACAGAGUCUAUAAACUUUCUAUCACUAUGAAAGAAAAGCAUCAAUGUCGUCCAUGUAUCUAAGAUUAAUCUUUCAUAGAUCAUACACUAACUCAAAGCUAGAUAUGCAACCUUGAAUUAACCUACUACGCUACAUCACAUGGUCAUAAAAAGAAACAAAAGUUAAAGGGAAAAUUGAUGUAAUUGUUUCAGAGAAUAAUUGAACAUGAGUGGUUACCGUUUCUCAAGAUGGCUUGUAGUUCCUAAAUGUUAACUGAACCAUUAGUUUGAUUAACUUGAACAACUACUCUAGCAGAAAUGCUCAAACAAUUUAGCAAGAUAAGGGAAGCAAAAGUUGAUUUAAAAUUAAAAAACAUGAAUAGUUUGAUUUUUGAAAAUCAUUAUAAGUAUGCAUCCUAAGGAUGACUAAAUAUUUAUGAGUAUUCCUUCUUUUUUUUUUUGGCCAAGCCACAAAUAGUGUCAUUUCAUUUUUUUUUGCAACCUUUCAGUUCUAAAAGUUAAGCCACAACAUUCCAGCUUACACCUUGGACGAAAGAGUAAAAUAUAUUUUUCCUAAAGCAACAUUUGCAGGAUUGAGCUUCCCAUUUAAUUAUUAGAGAACAUUUGGGGGAAAAAAGUGAAUUACCUAGACCACAAAAUAUGAAGAUUUAUCCCAACUAUUAAGGCUAGUUUUAUGAAUUCCUGCUCCAUUGAUAAUUAUAAACUCAUAAUUUCCAUCCUUUUCCAACAGAGGUUCUUCCUUCUUCCUAAACUCAUCCACAUACAUCAAGCGCUUCAACAUAAGAUAUCAUCCUCAUUCAUCAUUAGACAUGCUCGUACCAUCUGAAUUGGUACUCUUCCACUUUGUCAUCAGCCAGCCUUUUUUGAUUACAAUUUCAAACCUAAAAUUUCUCAUUUCUACCAUGUCUUCUUUGUUUGGACUCUCUUUAUUGCCCAACAUUCUGAACCAUAGAAUGUUUUUCAGAAAAUUUUCUCUUUAGCUUCCAGUGCAUGAGAAAUCACAUUAAACCAAGGGAAUACCAUUCAUUCAAAAGCCAUUCAUUCAAAAGGGGACAAACUUUGACAGAAAAGUAUGAAAAAAUGGGGAAAAUCUUUAAAUUUUGUGUCAAUAUUUGAAAAAAAAAUUGGAAAAAAAUAAUUUUCAAUCCCCCAAUAGAUACCUUUUAAUAGUGACAGGGCCGCUGUCCAAUCUAAACACAUCCUACUCACCCAUCUCACUACAAACAAGUUUCUCCUAGUCAAAGUACUUAAUCAAGCUCAACUAAGAACAGCUUAACUCAUUUUAUCACCUAAGAAAAUCCACAUAAACAAUAAAUCCCUGUGUGGGUGGACUCAAGGCAAACUAAACUAAAAGAACAAAGAAGAUUUCUUAUCCAAUUGAAAAAUCAUCCCGUAAAGUGACCUCCAUCACCAUGGCUCUAAAAUGAAGCAACAAGUUUGCCAACAGCAUGUUAAGCAAACCAUCUCAAUGUUGUGUCACUGGAGGGAGUCAUGCCCAACACUCACAUGGAAAACAAAAGGGUAAUUUAUUUUAAAAAAGGCAGGAAGAAGAAGAGGAAAAAACAGAUAAUAGUACCUUUCCCUCACUGUCCCACAGAAUCUAUAGUAAUCAGGAAAGCCUUGCAACCUUGCACAUUCUCGAACAGUGAGAACUCGAUCUUGCUCAGGGUGUAAUAUAGCCUAAAAAAUUGAGGGUUCUAAGUCUGGGAUUCUUAGAGUUAAGAUCAAAAAAUUAUGCAGAUUAAAGUCCAGUAACAGACAUUACCUGGCUGUGAGCAUCAGGUAUGGUCAGAACAGUUGGCACUAUCUCAUCCCACCAUAAUCGAGCAAAAGGUCUACAAUAUAUUACAUUAGAAUCUAGCAAACAACAUCUUAAAAAAAAUGAUCAAGAAUACUUCAAAUGCAAAUCAUUCAUUGAAAAUGUAAACUAACCUUAAUGACUUUCCAUUCCAAUAGUUCAUGGCAUAAUCUGGAACCUGUGCAAAGAAAAUAGAAACAACAAUUUUAUAGAUAAUAUUGAUUAAUACAACUACUCUAGGAGUCAACUUGAUUGUACAUAACCACAUCCUCUAACAUGCACUGUACAUGCAUGUAAGUAAAACAUGCUUACCAGUGGCUUUCCAGAUGGUAAUAGUAUCCGUUCCACUAUUGGGUCAAACUGAACGGUAUUGUCACAGCCAAUAAUGAUGCCAGGGAGGUCCCUAAAAUUUGCCCCCUAUGGUAUUACAAAAUUAUUUAGAAUAUCUUAUCAAAUUUUUUAAUUUUUUGAAUAGUAAAUGGACCCUGAAUUCAUUAAAGCAACCUUUUGCCGUGGAAUUUGACAAACUCGUAAGUAAUCAUCCUCGCUUAGAGGGAGAGGGCGAUGAUCAUACAACAUACAUCGAGAAUUUUUUAUACCAUUAGCUGUCAAUCCUGAUGUCUCUGCAAAUGUUGAAGAAAGGCAAUAUUUCAAUAAGGAACAUUGACAAAAAAAAUAUAACUUUUUGAUAGACAUGAAUAUACAUAUCUAUCCAAAUAGGUGGUGAAAAGAAAACCAGGGAAAGCAGGCCAAAGCUAAAAGCUAGAAUUCAUUGCAUGAGCAUUUAGCAAUUCAUGAGGAAUCAAUUCACACAUACAUACAUAUUUACAUACACACACACAUACAUACAUACAUACAUACAUUGCAUACAUACAUACAUACAUACAUAUAUAUAUAUAUAUAUGUAUGUAUGUAUGUAUGUAUGUGUGUGUGUGUGUAUGUAAAUAUGUAUGUAUGGAGAGAGAGAGAGAGAGAGCAUAACUUGACAAUAGAAAUUAGGUUCAGCUAACUUUUUCGGGAUAAUACGCAUGUCAUAAUUAUAACACUAAAAUAUGUAGACAUCUACUGACAAUGGUUGGCAGGAUUUUUUGGUUCAUUUUGAUCUUUUCCAUGUCAACUUUAAUUGUGUGACAAUUUAUUUGUAAAACUCUAGUUGAUCGUUAUCUUUAAUAACCAUCAAGUCCUAUAAGGAUUAAAUUUAGACAAAAACUUAUGGAAGAUUCUGAGUGAACUAAAUACCUCAUUAGACAAUACAGCCGAUAUGUAUAAGGAUCUGAACAACUCAAUAUGCGGCUUCUUAAUAGACAGUUGUUAAUAAUAUUAGCAUUCCUUGUUCCAUCUAUUUUUUUAAUACCUACCUGGUACCCAAUCUUUAGGUUAUUACACAAAAUAAAAGAAUACCAGAGCCUAAAGGCCUAUGAAUGAAACAUGUACAAUCUAGGAACAUCUAGUAGCAAGCUAGAAGUAGGUGCAAUUAUAAAAACAAAGAAAAUUUGCAGUUAGCUGGUCCAAGACAGUCCUCUAAUUAUAACAGUUAUUGAAUUUUAAAAUAAGUCAUUUCCAUCUUGGGGAAAAAAUAAUAAGAUCCUGGUUAAAGAUGAGAAGAACAUGGUUUGAACUUUGAAAUGUCAAGCUGCUCAGCACAAAAUGCUUGGUUCAUGCCAAACCAACAAGGUGGCUGCACAACUACCCCAAGAAACUUCAUUAAGCCUAUAUCAUUUUGCAUUCAACCUUGACAAACUUACUUUUGACAUUCAACAUUAUAAUGUAUGUUUUUUUACUAAUGAUGUGGUUUUAAUUGAUGAUAAGACGACAAUACUUAAUUGGAUUUACAAGGAAAGCAUCAGAAGAUAGAGGCUUAAGAAUCAAUAGAACAAAAAAAGUAUACGUUAUGCAACUUUAGUGAAGAAUAGAAUUGAGAUGAGGCUGCGAUUAAGAUUGAUGGACUAGAGAUACCAUAGAGCUAUUGGUUUCACUAUUUAGAAUCUAUUAUACAAAAUAAUGGAGAGACAAAUGAGGACAUAUCUAGACUCUAGAGCAAGGUGGAUGAAGUGAAAUGCUUUUGAACUAUCAUGUAACCAACACAUAUCUUGGCAAUUCAAGAGAACUUCAAAGACUGGAAUAAGAAAUGUAAAGUUGUACAAUGUUUGGAAAUGAAGAUUGUCCCAGAGAACAAGUUGAAUUUGGCAAAAAUGAGGAUGUUGAUAUGGAAGUCAAGUUUAGAAAUAGAGUGAUGAAUAUAUAUACUAGAGGAGUUGUAAAAGAUGUAGCGAUUAAGGAUUAAAUGAUGAAGAACUAAGCAAGAAUGUAUGCAUGUACAUCAAAAGUUUGAUUGGACUUUAAUAAGGACAUGUUUUAGUCUUUGCGGAAGGAGUCAGGAAGAGCAGGGGAAAUCCUAAAGUAGAACAGAUGAAAGUUGUGAAAAAGGAUAUUAACAAGGUACUCCGUCCUGAUACUGGUGCCACCUUGUCACUGUGUCGAUACGCCCGGUACAGUGGCUGGUUCAGUGUACCAAGUAUCAGUACACCUCCUGUACCAUAUAUCGAUACCGAAUCGGUAUGGUACGUUCCGUACUGUCCAGUUCGGUAUGGUAUGGCAUACCAUAGAUAUCAAAAAGCUCGAAAUAACAUUAGAGGUAGUCCUAAAUAAGAUGUGAAUUAUGAUUCAUAAAGCUGACCUAUGUAGUUGGGAGUUGGGACAAAGUCUGAUGGUCAUAGUAUGUUUUAAGUAAAUUCCAACUUGGAAAGUCUACCAUUGCAUUAACUUAAGAAGAAGAUAGAGUUCAAAAAAUACAAUAAAGCAAUAAUAUGGUAUGAAUAUCUAAUCAAGUCCAAGUAUUAAUUACAUUUUUCAUUUCUGACAAUAAUAACAUACCAAACUUUGGUGACCGAAUAUAUCUUUGGAAUUCUGUUUGAGGACCUUUUCCAUAUUGCAUCUGAUCAUGGACUUCCUUAUUUGUCACCUAAGAUAAAGAGUCAUAUGGAUUAGACUUGUUUGUUAGAGACCAUCCAGAAUUAAAGACCUUUUCCGUAUUACAAGUUUGGCUUACUGCUGGAAGAUCAGAAAGAACAUCUUCCAGAACAAGGGCUUUCUCCAAUGCUCGUGGUUGAUCUUCAUCAUACCCAACAACAUUACGCUGUAAUGGAAGGUAGUAUUGAAAUUAGCACAUGAAAUUAUGGCUGUCCCAAAACCUAGCAGGAAUAAUCAAUAAAAGAGAUCUAAAACAUGUUUAAGAACCACUCAUAUCAUUAAAAUAAUAAUAAGUGCUAACUUGCAUCCUUUAAAGCUCCUACAAUCAAUCAUGCUAAUAGGCAAGCAAAAUUGCAAAAAAAAACAGCUCAAAUUCUACUAUUCUAACCAUUGUCUCAGCAAUAUCUUUCAAAAAUGCUCUUUAACCUAACAAAAUAUACCAAAAGCAAAAGCAAAACUCAGGAACAAAAAGUUUCAGAGCUGAAGUGGCAAUUGUUGGUGCAAAUACAAUUGAAAUAACAAUCCAUUAACAAAACCAAAAUAGCAAAGCACCACACAAGCGAGAAUACACUUAUCUAUGGUAUGCUUGGACAUAAUAUUUAUGAAUAUGGAAUAUAUACAUCUCAUCAUGCUGUGCUGUGCCGUGCUGUACUGGGCGGUAGACUCAUAUGGAACCUAGGUGGUAGGCAACUGAAAUGGAAACACAUGUCUGUUUGGUCCUAUGGGAGAAACAGCCUUGAACCAGUCUGCAUUUCCCAGGUCUGCAGUAUGGAUCAGAUCUGACUGGCACUUGCCAGUUCUUGGGCACUAUUGGUUAGGGUCGUUAGAAAAGGAUCUUCUAACCCUUUUUCUCUCCAUUCUUGGGUUGAAAAGUGUAGAAGAAAUGAGAAGAGAGAGAUAGAGUGAUUCGGGAGAGCUUCUUCACCAAGUUCUAGCCCCAUCUCAGGAUCUUUCAAGCUAGGAGCAUCCCCAAGGAAGGUAGAAUCUCCUUCCUUCUUUUUUCUGUUUUCUAUUCCAAAAAUGGCAAAAAAUGAAAAACAAGGGAAAAACAUGCCAAAUUUUGUAUUUUCACAUGAUUUCACGAUAUGUUGUACUGCUAGUAGGACUACAUGAUGGGACAUAUAUUUUUAUUUUUCACUUCAUUAUUAUUUUUUAGAAUAUUAUCAAAUGAAUAAUUUCUAAAAAAUGCUAGCAGUUUUUUUUUUUUUGGGGGGGGGGAGGCGGGGAGGUAUUAAUUUUGGGCAUCUUCAAGGCCAUCGGAACUCAUGCCCAAAACCAAAAAAAAAUGUAAAAUAACCUUGUAAAAAUACCUUCUUCUAAGUUGAAGGUAGUUGCAAUAGUCCUAGUUAAAAUUAAACAUUUGAAUUUUUUAAUUUAGAAUAUUUCUUAAAUAGAAAAAUAAGUUUAAAUAAUUAAAUAUCUUAAAAAUGAAAAAUUAGUAGUGUGAAAACAUAAUUGGACAUAUUUUUUAGUGCAAUUAGCAUAUCUUUGAUGGUUGUAUAAAUUGUCAUAAGUAUUUAGUGAUUUAUAAUUAAAUACAUUAAUUAAACUAAGAGAUACAUAAUUUUUUUCAAAUUAUUAUAGAAAAUAAUAAUGUUUUAUGUAACUUGAAGUCACAAAUAAAGCUAAGGUUGUGCGUCAUUAGUUUUUAUAAAAAUCCGUGCUUCAUUAUUGUAAUGGACCUUAAAAUUCAUACCCGCAUAAGUAGUCCUCCAAAGCCCUGGUUUCCUCAUAGAAGUGCAGGAUUUUCCCACUUCAUCAAGCUACGAUGGCCACGUUAGUAUCAGACAACAUAUCAACAUUGUUGUGACUAUCCAAGAUGGCAUCGGUCAGAUUAUUAGUAGCAAGGGUGGGCAAGUAUCUAGGUUGGUAUCAAAUUGAAGGACCUGAAUAUGAACAAAACCUUAAUGUCUAUGAGACUCAUGGUCAAUCUAAGUGGAGCUCGCAAAGUGUGUCAACAUUAUUUCUCUCUUAAUUGUUGUAUUUUAUAUUUAUUUUCUAUAAUUUUCUAAAUUGUAGUUCAUUUCAAUUUUAAACCCUAAACCCCAUACCUAGAAUCUGAAACCAUAAAAACUUCCAAAAAUAGCAAACAAACACCCCUUGACCCAUGAAACACCAUUGGAAACAUAAAAAACCAACAAAAUGAGAGGUAAAAAAAAAAGAAUUUGUUGUACUAGUAUCUGGAUGGCAUGAUCCACUGUACUAACCUGGUAUGGUGCCCAAUUCCAAUACAACAAUUGAUAUAAUAAAGCAGUACCCAAAUUGCUUUUCAAAACCCAUGGUCAAUUAUGGUCUUAACUGAUACUGAAUUAGCAUGAUAUGUGGCACAUCAUGAUAAGAUAUGCUAUUUGAUUAAUCAACCAGUGUAUGGAAGUCUGGACUCAACGAGACAAUGGCUUGUUUCUAGUUUCAAAAAUACAUUUUUUUAUUGCAAUGUUAAGUCAGAUGCUUUGCUCAUAUCCAUUUACAAAAGCGCCAAGUCAUAUCUCAUCAAGAUGACAUUGCCUGUGGAGUAUAGAAAAGCAAGGUUUGUCAAAGUAUAGUGUUAAACAAAUCCUUAAACCAUGCUCAAGCUCCCAUUCUUAUUCCUAGCUUAUUAGAUGGAGCACGAUAGUGUGAGUUGGCACAUUUCAAUGAUUGGUUUUCAAUACAGAUUCAAAACUUCUAUUGGUUAUCUAGUAUUCUACCAUGGUCGGCAGAAGCAUCCUGAACUGAGCAGUUCGGAGUAUACUGAGGCAUACCGGCGGCGGACCGGGACGGUUUCAGCGGUGGAUUGGGGCGGUUUUGGCGACUGAAACAAAAUAAAAGUCAACAGAGGGGGAGAAGGAGAAGGAAAGGGAGGAAAAGAGAGAGCGAGUGGAGAAAGAAGGGAGAGCCGAUGGAGGCCGGCGAGCCGCGCGUAGCUGUGCGAAGGAGGGGCUCCGCUUCGGUUCCCCUGUUUCGUUCGAAACAUGCUCCUUUUUAAUUUGGCGAUUUUUAAGUGAAGUCAGCACUUGUUGACUUCACUUAAAAGUUGCCGAAUUAAAAACGGGCCCUCUCCGAGACCUCUGUUUCGAAAGACAUAGGAGAAUAGGAGUGGAGCCCCUCCUCCACAUAGCUCCGCACUGCUCGUCGGCCCUCCUCUCUCCCUCCCUCUCUCCCCACUCUCUCUCUUUUCCUCUCUCCUAUUCUCCCUCUCCCCCACCUCCUUUACUGUAUCGGUACGGGCCCGGCACGGAACAGUAUGGGGGCAUACCGACCCGUGCCGCCGGACAACCGGUCCGGGCUCUGGUUCCGGCAUAGCAAACAUUAUUCCUACAUUCAACAAGUUGGUUUGGUAGAUAUAAAAUAGAAACAAUGUGUUUGGAAAGACAAAAACUAAAUGAAAUUAUCUAUAACAAUCAUCACCAUAAUCAAUCGAAACAAACUCGGACGUCCAACAAAAUAUUUAAGUAAUUUAUCCUGUUACCUUUAUUUACUAAUAAAAUAAAAAUAUUAAGAUCACCUCCCACCACUAGCGCUCAACUUCUUAGGUCACCUUUUGCCCAUGGUAUGAAAUAUCGAGGCUUGGGGGCACACAAUCGAGGAAGGGUAUUGUAUAUGACAUAUCAAGGAUCAUGCCAACCAAGUGUAAUGAUGGAUCAUGCCAACCAAGUGUAAUGAUGGUUAGGCAUUGAUUUUUGAUCCCGGAUAUACUCUGAUGCAUGAAUCUUAUAUCAAACAAUAUUUAGUCAUCAUUUGACAAAAUCUACCAUGGUUUUUAAUUAAACAAAAUAUUCCACUUGGAUAUUCGAAGCAAUAUGGUAAAAAAGGGAGGAAGAAAAAGAUUUGCCUAGCUAGAAUGAUUUUCUAGCCUUAAAAAUUAAAAAAAAACAAGUUUCAAUCUUGCAAGCUUGUUGCCCUAGACAGUCUUCCCUUCUCCCUCUCUUUUUACCUUCAAAUGGUGGAGAAUAAUUACCAAAGAGGCUGUUUUGGUUACUCAAGUGGCACCAAGUGGUUCCCCUCCAUCUAAGGCCACAUCAAGCUCUUUUUGGGGUGAACCAACAUUAAUCUGCCCUAAACCACAUGAUCCCGGGUUGAUUAGACUGAUUUGAGUGCAAUGCAAAAGGGGUUUGCCUAAGCCAAUGCCACCAUGUAUCCCAAGAGGUUUGCAAGGCAAUGUCAAUGGGUUUGAACAAUAGUGAUAUUUCAAAAACUUGCUUCCACCUAAAGGCUCCAUCACCAUUUUACCACCUCCGCAUCAUACAUUAUCACCAUCUCUAUGUUUCUCAUCCCUCUAUUUUUUUUCUCAUGUGGACUUGUUUGAUAUCUUGAUUAGCACCCAAUCCAUACCCAAACCAUAAAUCCUACAAGUCUUACAAUUUAAUACCUACCAAUACCUCAACCCAGUUGAUGGAUAGUAUGUUUGGUCAAAUUUAGACCCUCACAAGUUCAAGUUCAGGAUGGUGGUGCUUGGAUUGAAAUCGACCAAAUAACAACAUAUAAAAGAUCAUCUGGAACUUUAUGCAUUAAUAGUCGAAACAAAAAAUCAAAUCUACUAGUUCCUAGUUAAAGUUUUUGACUUGACGAAAGAUCUCAACUUCCCAAAAAAGAAGCAAGACUUGAGUUGCCACAAAAAUCUAGCAACUUCUUUAUAGACAAAGUCAUAGAACUGCAAUGAUAAUCCUACGGUUUUAUACGACAAGACAUUAUCUUUGACAUCAUAAUGAUCCAAUCAAUUGGCAAUUUUUAUCUAGUAAUGUCCAGAGUUUCCCCAUAACACCUCUAAAGUUUAGAAUGUUCCCUAGUGAACCUUCGUAAAAAAUUGGGAGCAAGUUUUGGAGCACAAGCUAGGUCACAUAAGAACAUGAAACAUUUAUAUUUAUUAUAAGACACCAAAUAGGCAUGUCUUGUCCCUUUGGGAGCACAUGUAUGAAACUACAUGCAUAUAUCAAUAAGGAGAUGCAUCAAAGUGGAAAAACAAAAGCAUUGAUGGAACACGUGCAUGCAAUUAUACUAUAUCUUGCCAUGAAGAUCUCAACUAUAUCAAAUCAUGAAAAGAAACUGUGUUAGAAAAUACCUCAAAUUCUAGUGGAGCGCCGCCCUUCAAAAUCACUUCAUGUGUAGGUAGUGGGAAUGGUGGUAGUUUCUACAAGACAAAAAGGAAUAUUUAACUACAGAAUAUAAGUGUCGUAAUGUCGUGGAUUAUGAAAGCAUCAAUAACCUAUAAACUUGCCUCACAAGGAUGACAUCCCCAUAAGAAAGCUCGCAAUCGAAAUUGUGGAAGGCCAUAACAACCGGCAGCCAUGAUUCCUAGUCUUGCUUGGUAGUUCAUACAAACUAAGCGGCUAAAAGCAUAUCGGGCAAGUGUAGCUUUGGCAAAUUUUAAUAUAUCAACAACAUUUUCCAUUAGGACAUAUUUAGGCUUUAAAUAUUGUACAAUGUCCAUGAAGACAACUAUUUGUCGAUUCCUCUCAUCAUUUAACGGUGCAUCGAAGUUUCUAAACCGAUUAUAGCCACUAAUACCUUGACAUGGAGGGCCACCACAUACAACAUCUACAUCGCCCUGGAAUAAUUAAUUGAUAAGAGAUAAUAAAAGCAAAAUGAAGUAAUAGCUUAUUGAGAGAGUUUCUAAAAACACUUACAGGAAGUGGCAAUAUCUUUGACUUGAACCCUUCUAUUACAAAAUCCCGUAUUCUCUCUUCACAAUUGCUGAGAAAUGGUCAAAGGAUAGAGAUUGGUCAAGCCUUUAGAUAUGACACCAUAUUACCUAUGAAGUGGCAUACCUUAAUCCUUCAAUUGGCUCCCAAGUAUCAUGACUAGGGCUAUAACCCUUCCAGCGAACCUAGACAUAUCAAAUAAUAAAUUUCAUGAAAUAAAAAAGUGUAAUUAUGUAAAUUAUGUGAUCAACCUUUUUGAUUUAUAUAUGCUUUUCUUGUGACCCAAAAUUCAUGUAUGAGAUGUGGUGUUCUCUACCUAACAUUGCCUCGAGUAAAUCAUAUCUAGUGAAGCUUAGCAUGUACAAUAAAAUCUACUAUAUUUGUCCAUGAGUAGAGAAAAGAUCUUGAACCAAAAAAAACCAUGAGACUCAGAUGCCAUUUAGGAGCCUCUAAACUUAAAAUAAGAUCCAAAAUAAAUGCAAGAUUCUAAAUAUAUUGAAUGAAUAUAUGUUAAGGCAAAAAUUCUUGCAAUCAACUAAUAGUAUGGUAGAUAGGCGAGUGCAUGGCAAGACAUACUAACAGAUACUUAACAAGUUCUCAAAAAUGAUGAAUUGCACAAAGAUGUUAAAUGGAUAGAGGUAUAAUUGGCUGAAUGAGUGGGUGCCUAUUAGGUGGUAAAAUUUUUCGAUGAGUAUUUAUGGAGUUCUGUUACUUUACUAUUUCAAAAUGAUAUAAAGAAAACCUAGUGGAAAAUAUGGGGACAUGUCAUAGACAUGCCUUAGUUAAUGUCUUUUAAGAGCUUGAGGUCAUACCUAUACCUGCACUAAACCCAAGAUAGCCUACCCACUUAUUUCCCAUUAGUGUUUUAUGUUUGGGUCCUUGCACCAACACCUAAGACUGCUAUAAGAAAACAGAAAAUAUGCUUGCUUAACUAAUUCAGAAAAAACCUGCCACCAGAAGUGUAAACCUGCUAUUGCUAAUUCUUAUGUCGAGUGUAGUUUUUUAUAUACCAACUUUGUAAUACUUCGAGGUUCCUUAAUAUACCCAUUUCUUGCUAUUCUUCCUAAAUUUACCACAUAUCCAUCUUAAUAUUCUUAUUUUUGUUAAACUUAACUUGCUCUCCAAGACCAUCUUUAUUGUCAAACAUACUAUGCCAUCCUUGUAAACUUUAUUAUAGCUCUAUAAAGAUUUUCUUUUGAGUUGCCAAGGUAUGCAUUAUCAUAUAAUACCUUGAAAGCAUCUUGCACUUAGUCAAACAAGUUUUAAAUCUAUUAGCUCUUCAUUAUUUUGUAUAAUAGAUUUUAAAAAGAACAACUAAUCACUUUGUGGUAGCUUUAGUCCAUCGCUCUUAAUUGGGGCCACAUUUUCUUUUUUAUUUUCAACAAAAUUACAUUUCAUAUACUUUGUCUUUAUUCUGUUAGUGUUCUUGAAGGCAUUAUCAUUUAAAGUAUUCAUCCCAAAAUCCCAUUUAGAAUAAUCUAGCUCUAUUCUCAUCAAUCAACACAAGGCUUGAAGUACUAUGCUAUAGGUGCAUAUUGGUCAUGUACCACCAUGGUAUGUAACACAGUAUGCCCAUGUGUGUACUCAUGGUUUGCCAAUACAAGGUGGUAUUGCACAUAGUACAUAUUGGUAUGCAAUGUAGUACAGGAUGGCUUGUAUUGUAGUAUGAUUGGUUUUUCAAACCUUUCCAACACUAUAUCAUCUGCAAAUAUCGUAAUCUUUCUAAAUUUUAAAGCAAAUUAAUAAGUAUGAUUGGUUUUCAAAUACACCAUGGCACAACUUUCUAAAUAUUAAAGUAAAUUAACUAGUUCAAACAGAUACGGGUUUAAUGUUGAUUCUUGGUGUGAGCCUAAUAAUAUAUUUUUGGCUCAUUUCCUAUCAACUUCAGCAUUAUGAGUCUAAUGGUUAGAUAACAUGAUAUCAAGGUUUUAUAGAUUCUACAAACUGAGAAUCUAACAUGUAGAUUCUCUUUCUCUCUCUUCUUUUUCCUCUAAACAAGGGGCAUAUUUAUGAAAUAUACUCUGAACCNNNNNNNNNNNNNNNNNNNNNNNNNNNNNNNNNNNNNNNNNNNNNNNNNNNNNNNNNNNNNNNNNNNNNNNNNNNNNNNNNNNNNNNNNNNNNNNNNNNNNNNNNNNNNNNNNNNNNNNNNNNNNNNNNNNNNNNNNNNNNNNNNNNNNNNNNNNNNNNNNNNNNNNNNNNNNNNNNNNNNNNNNNNNNNNNNNNNNNNNNNNNNNNNNNNNNNNNNNNNNNNNNNNNNNNNNNNNNNNNNNNNNNNNNNNNNNNNNNNNNNNNNNNNNNNNNNNNNNNNNNNNNNNNNNNNNNNNNNNNNNNNNNNNNNNNNNNNNNNNNNNNNNNNNNNNNNNNNNNNNNNNNNNNNNNNNNNNNNNNNNNNNNNNNNNNNNNNNNNNNNNNNNNNNNNNNNNNNNNNNNNNNNNNNNNNNNNNNNNNNNNNNNNNNNNNNNNNNNNNNNNNNNNNNNNNNNNNNNNNNNNNNNNNNNNNNNNNNNNNNNNNNNNNNNNNNNNNNNNNNNNNNNNNNNNNNNNNNNNNNNNNNNNNNNNNNNNNNNNNNNNNNNNNNNNNNNNNNNNNNNNNNNNNNNNNNNNNNNNNNNNNNNNNNNNNNNNNNNNNNNNNNNNNNNNNNNNNNNNNNNNNNNNNNNNNNNNNNNNNNNNNNNNNNNNNNNNNNNNNNNNNNNNNNNNNNNNNNNNNNNNNNNNNNNNNNNNNNNNNNNNNNNNNNNNNNNNNNNNNNNNNNNNNNNNNNNNNNNNNNNNNNNNNNNNNNNNNNNNNNNNNNNNNNNNNNNNNNNNNNNNNNNNNNNNNNNNNNNNNNNNNNNNNNNNNNNNNNNNNNNNNNNNNNNNNNNNNNNNNNNNNNNNNNNNNNNNNNNNNNNNNNNNNNNNNNNNNNNNNNNNNNNNNNNNNNNNNNNNNNNNNNNNNNNNNNNNNNNNNNNNNNNNNNNNNNNNNNNNNNNNNNNNNNNNNNNNNNNNNNNNNNNNNNNNNNNNNNNNNNNNNNNNNNNNNNNNNNNNNNNNNNNNNNNNNNNNNNNNNNNNNNNNNNNNNNNNNNNNNNNNNNNNNNNNNNNNNNNNNNNNNNNNNNNNNNNNNNNNNNNNNNNNNNNNNNNNNNNNNNNNNNNNNNNNNNNNNNNNNNNNNNNNNNNNNNNNNNNNNNNNNNNNNNNNNNNNNNNNNNNNNNNNNNNNNNNNNNNNNNNNNNNNNNNNNNNNNNNNNNNNNNNNNNNNNNNNNNNNNNNNNNNNNNNNNNNNNNNNNNNNNNNNNNNNNNNNNNNNNNNNNNNNNNNNNNNNNNNNNNNNNNNNNNNNNNNNNNNNNNNNNNNNNNNNNNNNNNNNNNNNNNNNNNNNNNNNNNNNNNNNNNNNNNNNNNNNNNNNNNNNNNNNNNNNNNNNNNNNNNNNNNNNNNNNNNNNNNNNNNNNNNNNNNNNNNNNNNNNNNNNNNNNNNNNNNNNNNNNNNNNNNNNNNNNNNNNNNNNNNNNNNNNNNNNNNNNNNNNNNNNNNNNNNNNNNNNNNNNNNNNNNNNNNNNNNNNNNNNNNNNNNNNNNNNNNNNNNNNNNNNNNNNNNNNNNNNNNNNNNNNNNNNNNNNNNNNNNNNNNNNNNNNNNNNNNNNNNNNNNNNNNNNNNNNNNNNNNNNNNNNNNNNNNNNNNNNNNNNNNNNNNNNNNNNNNNNNNNNNNNNNNNNNNNNNNNNNNNNNNNNNNNNNNNNNNNNNNNNNNNNNNNNNNNNNNNNNNNNNNNNNNNNNNNNNNNNNNNNNNNNNNNNNNNNNNNNNNNNNNNNNNNNNNNNNNNNNNNNNNNNNNNNNNNNNNNNNNNNNNNNNNNNNNNNNNNNNNNNNNNNNNNNNNNNNNNNNNNNNNNNNNNNNNNNNNNNNNNNNNNNNNNNNNNNNNNNNNNNNNNNNNNNNNNNNNNNNNNNNNNNNNNNNNNNNNNNNNNNNNNNNNNNNNNNNNNNNNNNNNNNNNNNNNNNNNNNNNNNNNNNNNNNNNNNNNNNNNNNNNNNNNNNNNNNNNNNNNNNNNNNNNNNNNNNNNNNNNNNNNNNNNNNNNNNNNNNNNNNNNNNNNNNNNNNNNNNNNNNNNNNNNNNNNNNNNNNNNNNNNNNNNNNNNNNNNNNNNNNNNNNNNNNNNNNNNNNNNNNNNNNNNNNNNNNNNNNNNNNNNNNNNNNNNNNNNNNNNNNNNNNNNNNNNNNNNNNNNNNNNNNNNNNNNNNNNNNNNNNNNNNNNNNNNNNNNNNNNNNNNNNNNNNNNNNNNNNNNNNNNNNNNNNNNNNNNNNNNNNNNNNNNNNNNNNNNNNNNNNNNNNNNNNNNNNNNNNNNNNNNNNNNNNNNNNNNNNNNNNNNNNNNNNNNNNNNNNNNNNNNNNNNNNNNNNNNNNNNNNNNNNNNNNNNNNNNNNNNNNNNNNNNNNNNNNNNNNNNNNNNNNNNNNNNNNNNNNNNNNNNNNNNNNNNNNNNNNNNNNNNNNNNNNNNNNNNNNNNNNNNNNNNNNNNNNNNNNNNNNNNNNNNNNNNNNNNNNNNNNNNNNNNNNNNNNNNNNNNNNNNNNNNNNNNNNNNNNNNNNNNNNNNNNNNNNNNNNNNNNNNNNNNNAAUGUAAUUAUUUUCAAUAUUUUUGCAGCUGAAUGGUGGAUUCAUUUUGGCGGAUCCGCAAAAAAUCUUAAGCGGAUAGCUAUCCGGAUUCUCUCCCAAACGGUCUCCUCGACUGGCUGUGAGCGCAACUGGUCCACCUUCGGCCUCAUCCACAGCAAACAAAGGAAACGUUUGACACAAAAGCGCCUCAACGACUUAGUUUAUGUGCACUACAAUCUACGGUUGAGGCUAAAAUGCAUUCAAGAAGAAGUGGAGCUCAAGUAUGCAGAUCCCAUCUAUAGAACUUUUACAGAUGAUGAUGAUAAUCCUAUGCUCGACUGGCUUGCGGCCCAGCAGCAGGAGCCCGAGCUUGAUGAGCCGGGAUCGCCUCGACGACCAGCCAGUAUCAUAGCCACCAAGGCUAUGGUCGAUCCACAGCAAUGGGCUGAGCGCAACAUUCCACGCACUCCUACAGCUGAUAUGACGUGGUUAGAGGGGAGCCAGUCACCGCAUGACUGGUCCGAUGCUCCCGUUAUGAUCCUCUCAUGCGAGGACGAGGACGAGGACGCUCUACUACCCAGUCGACUCGAUCAGGAGGGCGUCAAUCCCAACAAACAAGAAAAGGAAAGGAAAGGGCCCCAAUGGAGAGUGUCGAGGAGGAGACUUGGACCAGCAGCGAUGAAGAUUCUGGUGGUGAUGGAUCUACUAGCCAUGGAGGAAGUGGAGGACAGUAUGGUACUAGUUAUGAGACACAGCCGGAGGGAGAUUUUCGAUAAACCGGUGAGUCUCAGUUUACACAUGCUACAUAAGAUACGGACCACGGUAGGCCGUCUGAUAUAGGCCGGUCAGAUACCAUUGCAUAUCGAAGAAGAGCUCCUCGAGGUCGUUCAAGACGCCAGGAUGCAGCUGCAGAUGACCUUCCAUAUGGAGUCGAAUCCAUUGAUGUAUCAAGUUUCGAGUCUUCCUAUUAUCCGCGGCCUCAACCAGCCUAUGGAUAUGGUGCAUCAGAGUCAUCUUCCGGUAGCUACUAUCCUGUGCAACCCGGAGGAUCUUACGGAUCGGAUUUUAGUGCCGGCAUAUUCGGAUGGGCCCCUUAUCAAGACACCUCUCAGAGCCAGAGCUUCAGCGAGAGAUCCGAGAGUUCUUAUGAUCCAACGCGCAUUCCUCGAGGAUUGAGCAUACAAGACUACAAUGCCGCUUGGUUAGAGGGAUGGGUUGAUCUGCCUCCAUAUUAUGCUGAUGAUCCAGAUAUUGACGAGAAGCAUCGCCAUUCGACCCGAUUUUAGAUAUUCGAGAGUGAUUUAAACGUAUGUAAUUGAUUGUAUCUUAAUUUGAAAAUUUUUUAUGUUCUUCAUGUCAUUAUUUGAAUUAUUUGGAAGUAAUAAGUUGCAUCAUCUAGUUUUAACCUUAAACCUAAACAUAAAAACAUCCAAAAAACUCAAAAAAAAAAACGACGAUGGGGUCGCUGAAUGUACCCUAUCGGUACGGUAUCGGUUCGGCUCGGUUCGGCAACGGUACCGUACCGAUACCGGAGCCGACCAGUACGUCGGUACGAUCGGUA
rnacentral:lncRNA from 1 species